rnacentral:lncRNA from 1 species
UUUUUUUCUUUUGUAUAAGAAAAUCCUUUACAGGAAUUCUUUUUUAGAGAACUUUUGAGGGACGAUAAAGUCCAGUUAAACAAUUAUGGAUGGCAGCCGACCCAGCCCAGCUAACCAGCCAACAACUGCUGGCUGAACCAGCCCAACAGAACUUUGCUUGCGAAGUUACGGGCCCAGCCCGCACGGCCCGAGAAUGACAGCAGUAAAACACCGUCCUCCGUCCCAGCGCCAUCGACCCCACGAAACUUCGCAAAAGAGGGCCUCAACCUCCGUCUCCCUGCGAUCUCCCCGACCACGGCGAUGGCCGCCGCCGCCCUCCGCUCCUCCGCCGCACGCCGGCUCCUGCGCCUCGCCCCGGCCGCCUCGUCGGCGCUCUCCGCUGCCUCCCGCCCCGCCGCCAGGUUGGCGCCGCUCUCGCGCCCGAUCUGCGCGCUCUCAGGUUCUCCUCGCCCCCACAUCUCUUUGACUAGUGCCGCAUGUUGGUGCCUGGAUCAGGCUGAUCUUCUUUCUGGGUGCUUCCUAGUUGCUUCCUUGUUACGAUGUUCCUAUUCCUUGUCUAAAAAAGGUUUUCAUAUUCCUAGAUACGGUUGCCCUUGUUACGAGACAGAUUAAAACUCUGGAUUUUCCUGCAAGGCCAGAAACUAUUACUCCGUAGUCAAGGGUUUUAUUGUGAGGAUGUUUAUGGUUGAUAGGAGUUGACAUACUCUAGCUCGGAGUAUUAACACGUAAAUUCGGACUUGCCUGAACACCAGCUCAGAUGUGAAAUCUGUGGUCCUGGAGUGUUUCUUUCCAGGCUGAUGUCUAAUCAAACUAUUGAAUGGACACACUUUCCUAUUUAUUGAACACGUGCAUUUUGAGUGAUGUUGUUUGAAAGCCAGAAGUCCGGAAUGUUGGUUACUUGACAACGAGGCUUUUGCUUCUGAAGUAACUAGGCAAAAGGUUUUCUAGCUUAUGUUGAGUAUACGGACUUUGGGAAACUAGGAACAAUGCAUUGUUUUUUUAUUUUUUUCACAUGUGGGGUUGCGGGCGGCAUGAGAUUGUGACUGUUUACGGUUGGUCCGUGCAAAGCUGAUGGCAAUUGGCAAUUACAGAGGGGUUUGAGAGAAGGUGGAAGGGACAUUACUUGUGUUGCUGCACCCCCACACUUAGGAUCAGCCCUAGCUUAGCUUUGUUAAUAGAAAGGUUGAAGGGGGCACCUUUUCUUAAUCUUUAUGUACUAGUACAACUUGCUGUGUUUUUCAUUAUAUUUUCUUAUGUAUUGUGGUUUAACAAGGAACUGAUUGGAGUAAGGGCUUUUUCUCAUGAGAAUAGUAUUAACUAAAUAAGGAUAUUACAUGUUUUUGUCCCAUGUAAUUUUUUUUGGAAAAUGUUUUUCUUAAUACUCAUCUUUCACUCAAAUAUGAGCUGGAUUUUGUAACUGAAAUGGUGAGGUUGCAUUAAUCACAGCAUUCCAAAGAUUAUGGAGUGGGAAAUCUGAUUGAGAUGUGAUUCAAAUUGAUGAAAAUUAAAUUGCUUAUGGUGAGAUUGUGCAAGUUUCUGGAUGUAUAUACUUUUGAUAGUUUUAGUUGUUAGGAAUUCAUUAUCUUUGGUUUGCUUUUUUAUAUAUACAUGUUAUAGAAGAGUUAAUGAUUCCUUAUUUGUUUUCAUUUUGGUGUUAUGUUAAUAUCACGCUAUACUACAAACUUCCCAUUCUGAUUAGCUUGUCCAUGUCAUUAAUAUCAGGUGGAAACAAUCCUAUCUCAUGGAACCUGAGGCGCUUCUUCAGUUCAAACGAAAAGCAUUUGCCUGCAAUAUCUGACCCAGAGAUAGAAUGUGCAUUUAAGGAUUUGUUGGCCGCUAGUUGGAAUGAACUUCCAGUUUCUCUUGUAGAAGAAGCAAAGAAAGCAGUAUCUAAAGCUACUGAUGAUAAGGCUAGUCAAGAGGCUUUGAAAAAUGUAUUUUGUGCUGCUGAGGCUUGUGAAGAAUUUGGCGGAACCUUAGUUACCCUAAGAAUGGCUCUUGAUGAUCUAUGUGGCCUGACCGGUGAGGUCAGUAUUUGUUAUCUAAUUCUCUGUGUCCUCGUGUCUGUUUUCCUUUGUGCUUAAUCAGUGUGAUCAAGCCUAGCUUUUUGCAGAAUGUGGGUCCCUUGCCUGGUUACAUCGAAGAUGCUGUUAAAGCUGCAUAUAAUCGCUACAUGACAUAUCUGGAGUCCUUUGGCCCUGAGGAAAAUUAUCUAAGAAAGAAGGUGGAGACUGAGUUGGGGACAAAAAUGAUACACCUCAAAAUGAGAUGCAGUGGCAUAGGUUCUGAGUGGGGAAAGGUACGUUUCUCUGGAAUGUUACUUGUCCCUGUGGUAUAGGUUACUUCAGUGUCGUCCUGUGCUGUAGAAAUUGAUUGUCUGAUACUUUUUUUUAUUCUUGGUGCUUGCAAAAGGUUUCUCUGCCUAUCACUGUGGCAAAAGAUUUGUUCCGUAUGCAGUGUUUAUUCCUAGCAAAAAUUCAGCUUGCUCAUUGCUUGACUGAUUUAUAUCGUUGGAUUUCUCUUUUUUCUCAUGCUUGUGUUUUGCCUAUCUCAAGAAAAUCUAUGAAGAACUUGAAUCUGUGUUUUCUGCAACUGCCUGUUAUUUUCCAUACCAAGUGAAAGCCCAUGAUUUCCAGAAACUGGCAAUUAAAUUGCUAGUUACUGUUUGGACCCUGGACCCUGGUACCAGUUAUAUUUCACUUGGUACAGGAAGAGGUAGGGGUAGCUUGGACUGGCUAUAAAUAUUUCAGCUUUGUCAAACAUUCGCGUAUCAUUCAAGAUUCAACUGUGUGAUCAAUUCAUAAUCUUUUUCACCAUUUGGUUCUGUACUAUUAAGGAAAUAACACAUAGCAAUCAAACAUGGCUGGCUGUGAGUGUUCAUGCACCAAGUGUCAUACCAACAUGUGACAAGGCUUGUUAAAUUAGUUUGCCCUGCAUGCCAUAGAAUCCUUUGUACUGGAAAAUGGCAUCUAAUUGAGUAUGUCACAUUUGAAAUCUUAAGGACCAAAAAUGGCUCCCCUUCUGUCUGUAACACGGUGACAAAAAAAAACAGUUGUUUGGUUAAUGUCAAUCCUCAGCGGGUAGGAUUUUGAGAAACUCAGUGUCUCAGACAUUUUGGAAUUGAUGACAUGUGCAUAUGAUUUGGGGUAAUUUUGUUAUUUUCAAAUUGGUAAAUCCCUUUCUCCAAGUUUCACAAUAAACAAGCAAAACAAGCAUGCAUUCUGGCUGAUUCCUGGCCAAUGUUGUCUGGUCCUUCCUUCACUCGUGACAUUAUUAGCCGGCAGGCAGCAUUAUAAGAAUCGCAUGGCUAUGUUUUUUCAAACAUCUUGUGCGUGUGAUCAUAGUGUAGCCUUCAUAGGAAAAGGAUGUCCUGGUCCUACUUCAUUGUAACUAUAAAAAGAUACAUUUUCAUUUAGUGUUUGGUUUUCCAUUGAUUUAUUUUCUGACAACAAUGAAUUCUGUUUUGCUUGACCUCAUAUCAUGUAUGGAAUUAUAUUCUCAUUUUGAUGCACAUCGAGCCUGCUUGUUUUGCCAGGACUGAAACUAGUGAAUUUGCAUAUAUUCAUGACUCCUUACUCACAUCUUAAUUGUUGGUACUUUCAGAUCUCCCUGAUUGGCACCUCAGGGAUCUCAGGUUCCUAUGUUGAGCUAAGGGCAUGAUGGGAAGUCUGCAGAUCAGAACCGUGGAAUCAUCAAUGGGCUGAGGAAACCUGUAGAUCAGAUUGUGUCUUUCAUCUUUUUCCAUUUUUCUUCAUAGCUACUGUGGCAAUAACAACGGGAUCAAACAGCUGUGUACUUAAGUAACUCCGAAUCUCCAGUCUUUGUCGCUGUAAUAAGAACGUGUUUCUGAAUAUUCAGAUAUGCUGCUCCUGGGCACAUGCGUCUGAAACGUGUAGAUUCUGUUCAUUUCAAGCAUGCGUCUUACUUCUUGUUCAAGUCGUAUCAAUUGUAUGUUUAAAUGAAGUAUGUAUUGAUAUGUCAUUAUCCCUUUAUUUGUAACUGAAUUUGAAAAAUGGUAACAACACAGUGGUCUGCAUUGUGUUUAUGGUUAGCAAUCUGAAUCUGCACAUCUGUUCGUUCUCAAUGAGCCUAGUACAGUACUUAUCAUGGACAAAUUCUGAUGAGUAUACCACUAACCAACCACUGAGUAAGGUAUAAGGCUAAGGAUCAGUGAUGGUAAAUCCUUUUGAGUGAAUUUAAAUCCUAUAAAUCUAUACCAUUCGUUGCUAUCAUACACAGUACAUGUAUCGCCACUCAUCAGUACAAGUAUACAACAAUGGCCGGCAGGUAUUUCCAUACACACAUCUACAACAUGACUGGGCACGGGCUAAGCUUGCAUCUCACGAACCGUAGCAGAGUACCUCAUUCUCUAUGAGAUCAAAAGCUAGCAAGGUUACACGCCCGACGAUCUUCGCUCUGUUGACCUGCAAACAGUAACAGCAUCUCGAUUUAUCUGAACUAUCAUCUGCUAGCUUCAUGAGUCAUGACCUUCUCUGACUUUGUCGCUGAUGGAGCUCAUGAUGUUUGAGGCAAUGGCAAUGCUGCUCGUGACCACAGCCAGAAUGAUCAUCGUCGCCGCCAAAGCCUUGUCCUUCCGCUUUGCUAUUCCAUGAACAUCCCUGCAGUAAAAUCGUGUGUUAGAUUCUCACUCUCUAAACGAGCGUUCAGCCAUCGACGAGCAGUCAUGCAGGAUUUCUGAAGCUUUCUUCAAGAAACCAAUAAUAAUGAAGCAGUGGCGUACCUGAGAACAAUGGCGCCAGGGAAGAUCAACGAGAUGGUGACAGCGAACGUGGAUCCGGAGUACUCGAAGAGCGUCCAGAUGCUGGGGAUGGCGAUGGCGAGCGCGUAGAGCACCGCCAUGAGCACGGCCGUGAGGGACACGAACCGGCGCGUGUCCGUGGCGAGCGGCCGGCGGCCCGGGAAGAGGAGCUCGUCGACGUUGACCCGGAGCGAGAAGAAGAGGAGCGGGAAGACGAGCACGAGGUGGAGCGCGUAGCUGAGGCGCGCCGCGUCGUUGAGCGCCUGCGGGACGCCGGCCCCCGAGCUGCGGUCGAAAUUGGCGAGCACGUCGGCCAUGGUGGCGUCCCCGAAGAGGAGGAAGCCGAAGAAGCCCACGGCGGCGUAGAUGGCGGCGCAGAGCACGAGGGAGAUGCGCACCGCCGCCUUCAUGUCCGACGUCUUGCUCAGCUCCGCGCGGAUCGGGUGGACUGCAUUGCAAGUGGCGCAAGUGCGCAUGCGUGUCAAGCAAAUUACAGACACACGCGCGAUGCACCUUGCACGGGAUGUCAUGAAUAUGUAAUGGUUGCAGAAGGGACUGAUGAUACCGUUGAAGUGGAAGGUGAAGGCGACGACGAUGACGGGGACGGCGGUGAAGAGCUCGAACGGGGAGGAGAGCCUGGAGAAGUCCGGGAGCAUCCUCGGCAUGGUCGCGGUGCCCUUGAGGAGCGCGUACACCGCGAUGCCCAGGCUGAUGAGCAUGAACACCACCGCUAGCAUGAUGGAGAUGGCCGACGUGAACCUCAGCGAAUCUGCAUGUUGGAGCAAGUUUGUAAACGCCCAUGUCCGAUGAAACACACAUUACCGAACGAUUCAGUUCACACUCUUCGUACGAAUUUCUUCAGUUAAAAUGUAGCACAGUAAGUCACGACACUGGAAUCAGCCAGUUUUCCUAGCAGGACCAUGUCCUAGCACUGUUGUCCCAUGUUCUACUACAUAGCACAGCACAUGAUGGCAUGACCAAUGGCUAACUGAAAACGACAAGACAAGCACCCACCGGCUCUCCGCUGUUUUUAGCUCCAAACCUUUCCAUCACCAAAGAUACGGCAUGAUUCUAGUCGAGACGCUGCAGCUUUUGUCCGGAGCACGAACAGAGUAGUGCACUACCAGUGCAUGUAGAGCAAGUAACGCCACACGUCGCCUCCAGCUCGAGCGACAUGGGCGGCGACCGAAACUCUAGCCGCUGCCGCUCCCUCCUUCCCCUCCACCCUACCUCGCCGCCACUGGAGGGCGCCGCCGGAAGCCCGCGCGGCCCCUAGGAAGGUGGCGGCGGGGCGAUUUUGCCAUGUCUUGGCUGCAUCCACCUGGAUCUGGGCGGGAGACCGGGAGGUGGCCACGGCGCGCGAGAGGCAGCGAGCUUGCGACGUCGCAGCAGGGCUGGCCAGGGGCCGCGGUGGCAGCGCGGCGACGCAAAGCGAGGAGGCUUCCUGGCGGCCGCGGGGCAUGGCGAGCUGGCAGUCGGGGCGCCAGAGCUGGGCGAAGGGGCUGUUGUGGCGCGCGCGGCGCAAGGCGAGGUGAUGGCCCGCGGGCGAUUGGGUGGCGAUAGCGUCCGGCGGCAGCGACGGUGCACCACACCUACUCUGUGGCAAGGCUCAGCCUUCCAUGGGGUGACGCGUGGAUCUGCGCGGGAGAUGAGGCCGCACGUUGCGGUGGCCGACGCGGGGGGCGAGGUCCUACGCCGCGGCGGCUUGCGCGGGGUAGGGAGGCGAGGUGACGAGGUGGCGGCCUGCGCGGUGCGAGGUGGCCGCGCAGCAGCGCCAGCAGGCGCAGGGCGAGGGCGGCCACGGCGGUGGCCCAGUGGGGCAGCAUGGCCGCGCGGCUGCGGCCCAGGCGCACGGCGGCGGCCCGUGUGGGGUGAGGGGCUCCUUAUGGCGGCGACCAGAUGCGGAGUGAGGAGGUGGUGGCCUUGUGCUUGAUUCAAGUGGUGGGUGGCUGCUCUGCUUUAGUGGAGCGAAGGCAUGGAGAGGAUGUGCCUAUGAAGUUCUCAGUUGCGUAGUGGUGGCGCGCCGACGGCCUGCAUUGUUGCUUCCAGCGACGCCCGUGGUGGCGUAGCUGCUUGCGGCUGCGUGGGUGCGCGUUAGCGACGCCGUGGAGGUGUGGUUGACUGCACUGGCCCCCUCUCUGUUCCGAGCUGCUUCGUUGCCGGGUCGGGUUAGUGUAGCAGUGAGCGAAAGCCUUGCGAUGGUGACGCCUUUGGGCGCUAUGCUCCUCCUUGGAGGUGUCGGCAUGAUGCCUACUCUUCCAUCGGUGGGAUGUCCUCAUGGCGAAAGCCGUGCUUCAGUUGGAGUAACAAUGACGACGUCUAAGGACGUCGUUUCUCUCGUUGGAGACAUCGCUUCGAAGGAUCCCUCGGCGGCUACAGCGGCUGGUGUCUGCUUUUUUAGAGUGGCCAUUGGUUGGUUGGUAGUGGUGCGGGUGGCCUGGCGGCAGUCCAUGGUGGCUACUCAUGAGUUGGCCUCAUGGCUUGCAGUCGGAUGUGGCGACUAAUCUUGCUCAGCAAGGUUAGCCCGGUGCAGAACAAUAUCGUGAGACGGUGCAAGCGGCUACGAUGGAGUGAUGGCUACAUGACUUGCAGCGGUUCGUGGCGACCAACCCUGCAUAGCAGCGGUUUGCUCGGUGCGAAACAUCAUCGGUUACGAUGGCGCAAGUGGUGACUUGCGGGUUCUUGACUUCGUCAGGCGGUCGGCACUGCUCGUUUGGGGUGGUGGUGGACCAAUGGUGGCGGUAGGGCCGUUACCAUAGCGGCGAGCGUUGAAGGGCUGCCACGAAGUGGGGGUAGUUUGCGGCUUGUGUCGAUCUCCCAAUCCGACCGGGCAGAGUGUGUUGGAGAUAAGUUGAGCUCAGUACAUGUUGAUGUCCUAAUACAACCGGCUAAUGCGUUGUUGAGUUAAGUUGAGUGCGAUGGCGUGGUGCGGCAUGCGUUGAUGAUCCAAUCCAACUUGACGAUGUUUGUGUUGUUAUUUUUUUUCAUUCAUUAUUUCAUCCAAUUUGAGCUUUAUUUUUUUUUAAUAUAAUCGGCUGCUCUAAUUUAAAAAAAAUACCAGUGCAUGUGCAUAGGCUCACAACCUCACGUACGUACCGACACGCUUGCGGAGCACGAGGGGCAGGAGGAUCGCCGCGACCGCCACCAGCACCACCUCCCGGUCGGUCCACCGGUGUCGCCCGAACCACUCCUGCAGCACCCCGGCGUGUGCGUCCCCGCCGCCCGCCACGCCGGACAUCACGUCCCCGACGACGAUGAGGUACACGGUGAGGGUCCCGAGUGCGUUGGCGGCGACGAACACGUUGAGCAGCCCGGCUCCGGCGCGGCCGAACGCGUCGCCCAUCAGCGCCGCGUACGACGGCGCGCCGCGGGUGUACCGGAGCAUGAAGCCCACGGCGGCGUCGGCCAGGGCCGCGGCGCCCGCGAUCAGUGCCACCGCCGGCGCCACGCCGAGGACGCGCAUGGCCGCCGGGAUCGACAUGAUCCCGGCGCCCACCACGCUCGUCGACACGUUGAACACAGCACCCAGCACCGACGCCGGCGAGCCGCCAGCCUGCGCGCCCGGCGGCCCGGCGUGCUCCGGCAGAAGCGGGGCCUCCUCAGGUGUAACACUCUCCCCGGCGUUCGGCAUGGCAGAGAACGGCGGGUUCUUGGACGCCGCCAUGGUUUAGUGGGAGGGAACAGGGAAGAGGAGUGAAGCUCUGGGACUGUUUGGUGCGCGUGUGUGUGUCGAGAGCGUGAAAACGUGGCGAGAAAACGACGGGAGAGCUGCGUUGAGAUAAGAGCUGAGUCAGACACACAUGAUGACAUGAGGUGGGAAUGAACAAGACUUGGCCGUGCCGUCGUGCUUCCCUCAGCUCAGUGCCUCAGUACUACAGACUACAGAGUACUAACACAAUUCGACUUGGCCCGCGGACAAGUACGUAGGCCCCAGGUUGUCGUUGGCUGGUCAUGUCUUUGUGGCCCGUGUUUUGCAAGAGAUUUUAGUGGAUCUGAUACACGAUGAAUGAUGUCCAGGAACAUGUUGCAAUAAUUUGGUGCCGUGGAAGAACAGAGAACCGGCAGAACUCCCCUCUUGUUUCAACUUCGAAUGCGAGGUACGGAGUCAACAAUCUCAGCAACCUUCAAGCCGAGCCAAAGACAAGCUUGCAUUGGCCGGGGUUGGACAGGGCAAAUGAUCAUUGGGUCAAGAGUCAAGACUGGCACACCUCGAUCUUCUGGCGUGCAAAAAUGACUUCCGGAGAAUGUUCAUGCCGGCUAGCUUCUUCUUUCUAAAGUUUCCGACAUUUGUUUGAGCUGAAUUUAUGCGACAUUUGCUGAAUUUUUCCGUCCCAUAACGCUGCCUACCGUUUGCUAAUAUUGGAUUCUACUCAGUCACGUACUUCUACUUAUAGCAGGGAGCUGUUUACACAAUCUUUCUUUAGGCCAGACAUUCGUUCCAGCGUAAUCUUUGGGGUCGGUAACCACAAUGUGCGACACGGAUGCAAGUUAACAUGCUUCCAGCUCAAGUCCAAUUAAUGUGGCCACAUCCUCGCAAUGCAAAAGGAAAGGAACACAGCCUGUAGGUCAGACCUCCACAGCACCAGAGGUUUAGGGAUCAUCAUCACCAUGAUCAUCCAGCUACCAGGCUCUCUAUUUUAACUUGGGAUCAGAUCCCAAGUCCACAUGGCGUUAAACUACUUCUUUAUCAUAUCAUCAGUUCAAGAUCAAUCAAUUUUGUAAUGUCAAAUCAGAAUGAUUCAGAAGUGGGGCAGCUCAACAGUCUGCAGCUCAACUAAAAUAUUAUUGCUCAACCAAUCUCAACCAAUCUAAUAAAUUGUAAUGUCAAACUAGUACAGGUUUUAGCAACCAAUCUCAACCAAAAUUAUUGCUCUGAUAUUAAAUAUUCAACUAGAAUGUACGGCGCAACUGGAAUGUGAACUCACCGACACGGCGGCGGAGCACGAGCGGCAGCAGAACGAAGACGGCGGUGACGAGCAGCACGAACUCCCUCCCCGUCCACCACCGCGCGCCGAACAGCUCCCGCAGCACCCCGGCGUGCUCGUCUCCUCCGCCGACGCUCCCGGACAUCACAUCCCCUGCAUUGUCAGAAUUAGCUCGAUCGACCUGAAUCCUCGACGUCGACGAAGGAUUUGUAAUGCUCGGCGCUGCACAGCUAAACAGCUUACCGAUGAUGAUGAGGUAGACGACGAGCGUGCCGGUGGUGGUGGAGGCGAUGCAGACGUUGAGCACGGCGGCGCCGGCGCGGCCGAAGGCGUCGCCCAUGAGCCCCGCGUACGUGGUGGCCUGCUUGGCCGCCGCCCACCUCGUGUACCGCAGCAUGAACUCCACCGAGACGUCGGCGAGCGCGGCCACGGCGGCAAUGAGGAGCAGCGCGGGGGCCACCCCGAGCACCCGCAUCGCCGCCGGGAUCGACAUGAUGCCGGCGCCCACGAUGCUCGUCGACACGUUGAACACCGCGCCGGAGACCGACGCCCCGCCGCCGCCGCCGUCGCCCGGGAAGAACUCCGGAAGCAGCGGCUCGUCGUCCAGCCCGCCGGCGCUCUUGCCCUUGCUCGCCGGCGGCGUCAUUUUCGCGGGGCGUGUGGGUGGCGUUCGUCGACGGCCGGGACCCCAGAACUUAAAAAUAGCACGCGCCGGCUCGUAUCGUACCCGCCAAAUGACCCUUGUGCCCUCUCAUGGCGAGGAAGGCCACGGGAGAGCUUGUCUGCUGGCGGUGGGAGUAGUAUGGUAAUUCCGCGCGGGAGACGCCGGACAACGACAGGCGUGGUGGUAUGAUUGGAGGGAGAAGGGUGUUGAGUUGGAGGUGAAGAGGCUUGUCUGCGCUCGCCCACGCUGCGACAUGGCGCGGCGUACCUGGACGGGAACGCGGCCCGGGUUCGUGUUUCCGCGAUGAUUCGGUGAAACUGGACUUGUUUAGCACGAGCAGCGGCGGCGGCGGCAGGAGCGUGAUCGGCCAGCCAUUGCCGAGGGUCCAUCGAAUGAUUCGCGCUUUCGCGUAUGCCCAACAGCAAAUGACACUUUUGCUACCAUUCAUUUAGGUACGAAUUUGUCUUGCUGUGAUUCUCACCCGGUCACAAGUUCACAACCCCCACUGUCAGCGCUUCAGCUGGAGGCUAUGGGUAACCACAGAUUCUCUUUAGUUCAACUAAUCAAACUAGUACUCUUUAGAAAUAUUUUGAAAAUACUACUUCAAUCUAUUAUCUUAAUAUAAUAGUGUUAAUAGAAGUCACCACAUUCGCUGAUGUGGCAGAACCGCUCAAACUAAACCGGCAUAAGUGUGCUAACCAUCAUCUUAAUGGUUAAUCCAGUCACGUACACUUAAAACGGUGUAAUCCGACAGUCCAUCGGGUCAAGCCCGAUUCAACCACUGAAUAUCUCGAUCGAAAUAAUAUGCAACAAAUCUCACACGAAGGUGAGCGCAGAUGAUACAACAUGGUAUUUCAGGUCACAAACAUAGAGGUCUUAAUUAAUUUACAAACUGAGUUCGAAAUUCAUAAAAGAUUACAAACCAGAGUUCUUAAAUAAAAUACAGCGGAAAUCUAACGACAAAGCACGAAUAAAGAUACAUGACGAUAUGGGUAGCCCGCCACAUAUCAUCCAAUACGAGACCACCUCAAGGGUCUUGCAAGGGGGAUCUCGGAAUCUCGAGACGAGAUUCUUUUACGGGGGGAGGGUUGUAACACCCCGGGUGUUUAAAUUGUAAUUAGACUUAAUCAUCUUCGUAAACAUGAGCAUCAUGGCACUGCAAUUGCUUAAACCUGUUUUAUUAUUGUUUAUUGUUCAAAUACUUGAUGAAAAAUGACGAAUUUACAGAAUUUUUCCUAAUUUUUGGGUGAUGUGUGCUAGUGAUAAAAAUUCAGUGAAAUUUCAAUUUUAAUUGUUUUACUUUUCAAAUUCUAGGCAAUCCUUUUUAGUUUUGCAGUUGGUUCAAGCUCCUUUGUGUUCUUUGUGAUUUUAUCUUUCCAAUGGGUAUUUUUAGGGGGAUUUUCUUUGACUAGCUGCACAUUGUUCUUUUGAAGGGAAAGUUUUUUUUAGAAAAAUGCACGGGCCCACUUGCCACCCUCUCUUUCUUCUCCCUCCCCUCAUCCCACUGUUCCUGUCGCAAGAGGCAGAGCAGGGCAGAGCGUACAUCGCCGCCUGCGUCACGCCACGCCGCUUGCCCCUACCCAACCAGCCUUGCAGUCAAUCGCGUCGUACUGCCGCCUUCCCGUCGCCAAUCUCCCAUGCCGUGCCCAUGCUGCAGCCCAUGCCGAGACUGUGCAUCGGUCAAGGCGUGCUAGAAGCUAACCGCGUGAGCGCAUGAAACCAGCGCCCCGUUGCCUGCUCCAGUCCCCCUCGCUUGACCUUAUCUUCCCUAACGUCCACAGCCUUGACUCCUCCCCUGGUUGCCAGCCUCCUCUCCCUCUCCCAUUUGCUUCCCUUCUUCUUGCUUCGGCCAAGACAAAGCAAACAGAGUCGAGCCAAGCAGGGCACCUUCGCUGGCCAAAUCCCGCCACUACCCUUCACCAAAAUCAAAUCACCACCACUCCAAACUAGACAUCUACCUCUGCCACCUCUUUUUGCCUAUCGCCAUGCACCCUAGCACUGGGGAUUGAAGUCCCCGCGCAAGCCAUUGCCGCCAGCCACAAUACUCCACCCACCGUCGAACCCCACCUUCCUGGCCUUCUCUUGCUCCACCAACCCCCAAAACAAAACCUAGGUGAGCCCCUGGACCUCAGGCUCUCGCCAAACCACCAUCUCAACCAUGCUUCCACGCACGUUCCCGAGCUCGCUGGUGUGUGUUGCGCCGUCGUUGUCAUGGGCGUGGUUGGAGUUAGGGAUUUGGGGAGAAAAGAGGAGGAGAAUGUGUGCUAGGAGGUAGGCAAGCUUCAGGGGUAGUUGUUGGGGAGGGAGGCAAGACCGCCAUGCUGGUGCCGGUGCGAUGCCAUCGCUCAUCGUGCGUGUGCCAUGGGCAGAGGUAGAAGAAGGGCUGAUGUGCAAAGGAAUUAGAAGCUCAGGGGUUAUGCGAAAGUUUUCAGGGUUUAAGUGCUAGGUGGGAAAUCUUCAAGGGGCCUAAGUGCUAGACCUAGGGGCUUUAGUGGAAAAGCAAGGGCAGAUCCGCUAGGAUAGUUUGUUCCGAGGACCUAUAUGCGAAAGUAACUUUCUCUUUUUCUAUUUUAGUUUUAGUUGAAAUGGCUAAAACUUUGAAAAUCUAUAUAAACUCGUAGAGAGAUGAUAAAAGUACGAAAUAAAUUUUGUUGGCUUCCUGAUGCUUAGAGAUAUCUAGUAAAUAUACUUGUUCUUGUGAAAUAUGUGUUUUUAUUGCUGAUUAGAAUGCAUGUUGUUUAAUCUCCUUAUUUUGGAAUAAAUAGCUCUAGUACUCAUAAAAUCCUGAUAAAUUCAUAGUAAUAUGUUCCUAUGUUGAAAAGUGUUCUGAGAAGUUCGUAGAACCAAAUUGCUUAUAUAACUUUAGAUAUAAAUUAUUCUUCAUAUCUACAGUUUUGCAAUGUUUGUUUUUUUUAAUAAACUCUGUGAAAGUCCAAUCAUGCUGAAACUUUUACAGUAGUGUGUUUGUGUGUUUAGUAAGAUUCUGUAAAUGAUUUAUGUUCAUAUAACACGGAAUGCUUCCUGAAUAAUUAUUUUUUCUAUAAACUAGUUUAAAUUAUUGAAAAUACUUGUUAUUGAAAUUGGGAGCUCAUAAAUUAUUUUUACGCUCUUUAUCAGUAGCAUGUUCAUUCCUGAAAAAUUUGCGGCUAACAGAAUCUAUAUGGUUGCUUGUAGGUGUCAUUUAUUUGGCCUCUAGUAUGUUAUUGCUACAGUUCACUCAUAAGCAUGUUUUACAUAGAUCUUGUUGUCAUCAUGACAUGCUAAAUCACUUAUUUAGGACCUGGUAUUCAUGCCAUGCUGUAAUCAAAGUUACUGAAAUAUUAUUGGCUUAUUUUGAUAAUGUUAUUUCUCACAUGAAAACUCUAGUGUUUCCUUGUGUAGAUGAUGAUACUUGUAUGCUCUUCUUGAUCUUUAAAUGUUGUAUGAUUGAGUUGUUGCACUCUCUAAACUUGACUUCAUGCAUGUGUCAUCACCUUUCAAUUAACUCAUGCAUAUGUAUUUCCAUGUAGAUAACCCGCUAGUCGACAGUCUUUAUGAAUAGAUCGCCGCGUCCGAGAGUGAGCAGCGUAAAGCUUCUCAAGUUGAAGCAUCCCAAGACCUGAACCAAAGUUUAAAAGAUCCCAAGGCUAGUUUGGAAGGCAAGCCUCGGAGUAUAAGCCCUUAUUUCAAAACUAUGCAAUUAUCUUAAAUACGUGUUUACUUUAUGCAUUAAGUUCCUACGAGUUGAAUGGAACCUUAGUUGCAUGAUCCCUAGGACUCCAAGUUCAAAUACUAGUAUGUGUAGGUCGAUAGAAGUGCUAUGCUUAAUUAAGAACGGUAGAAAUCGAGUGAUUGCCUGUCGCUCAUGAGACAUAGGACCUUUCGAUAUCUAUGGCAAGUUACUUGAGAAUGAAUCACUGAUGAAAGAAAAGUUAAAGAUCGGGCAGAGACAGAAAUGAAGUUGAAGUUAGAAUUAUGGUUGCGCUCCGCUUGUGUCGAUUAAGGUCCGUUCGUUGUGGUCCUGCUGAUCAAGUUUGAACUGUACUAUACACAUGCUAGAAGUAAGAGGUAGUUGAAACUGGUAAAACCUAGUACCUUAGGGCGCGACUGUAGAUUGAGUUGGUCCUGUUUCCUGUUCGUGUGCUAGUCAGUAACUCAUGGCUGGCCCGGAGAGGUACUGGUGGGGAUUAGCACUCAAGGGUCACAGGAGUUCGCAACUGCCCACAUUCUCUAAGGGGACCGUUUGCCAUAUGUGGCUAGACGGAGCAUGCAUAUGUCGUGUGUAUAGGUUCACCUUGCAAGGUUAUAAGUUGAAUCGAUUUGCCGCCGCUCUUGAUUAAGAGAACCUUGAUCACUGCAUCACAUCGUAGUAAGAAGUGGAAUGAAAGAGAAAUGUGAAAUGAUGUUGAUAUUGCUAUCUAUAAUCAAUUGUUUUCCCACACUGAAAUUUUUUGAAAAUAUUGCUCACUUAGAAUGGUUAGCUCAACUUUAAAUUGGAUGCUAAAACUUGAAAGUAAGGAUCCACUCUUAGUUGCUUUUUAGCAAAACCAACCCCUCAUCCAAAAGUCUUUCAUACUAGGAGUCGGCUAAGUAUAUACCAUAGUCGGGAAAGUCUUGCUGAGUAUUAGUAUACUCAGUCUUACUUUGUUGUUGACUUUCAGGUCUUAGUGAAGAAAUGAUAGAGUUGGUUGCUGGCCAGCUUUGGGAUGGCCGCCCUUUACCUGAAGGGUGGUCGGUUGAAUGGUUUCCGGCCUCGUCUUGAGGUGGUCUCGUAUUGGAUGACAUGUGGUAGGCUACCCAUGUCGUCAUGUAUCUUUAUUCGCGCUUUGUCGUUAGACUUCCGCUGUAUUUUAUUUAAGAACUCUGGUUUGUAAUCUUUUAUGAAUUUCGAAUCCGGUUUGUAAAUUAAUUAAGACCUCUAUAUUUGUGACCUGAAAUACCAUGUUGUAUUAUCUGCGCCCACCUUCGUGUGAGAUUUGUUGCAUAUUAUUUCGAUCGAGAUAUUCAGUGGUUGAAUCGAGCUUGACCCGACAGACUGUCGGAUUACACCUUUUUAAGUGUACGUGACCGGUCAUUAAGAUGAUGGUUAGCACACUUAUGCCAGUUUAGUUUGAGUGGUUCCGCCACAUCGGCGAAUGUACCAUUGGAUUUUAUGAUCAUCCAACAGUCUAUACCCAACCAAAAGGUAUGCCAAAUAAAAUUAGCAAAAAAAUCAAAAAUUAAGAAAAAAAAUAAUUGAUCCCAAAAAUUCUCAAGCGAGAAGUAAAUUCCUUGACAACUUUAGGUACUUGGACGUUGUGGAAACAUCACAACGAUUGUGUAUACAAUGAUGCUAAUCGUAAUAUUGCAAUUAAAAUUAUGAAAAUUAUAUUUAUAUAUAUAUAUAUAUAUAUAUAUAUAUAUAUAUAUAUAUAUAUAUAUAUCCAACAUUGUCAUGAAUAGUUUUCCAACUAAAUCAACCUCGCUCUACUGCACCAGGAGAUAAAAUUUGUCCUUUCAUACAUCUUUAGUACACCCGAGUGGAAGUCGGUUUGGGCUUGGGCUAGGCCGAGAAAAGCCAAAAAUAUUUAAAGCUGAAAAAAUCGCGCCCACACCAAUACACGAGAGACAUUGGACCAGCUACCCACCAUUUUCACGUGAAAAAAUAACUGAAAUAAAUAAUCAGGUUAGGCUGAGCCCGUCCAUAUUCUUCUUGGUCCAGCAAAAUCAACGCCAUGCCUAGCCCUAUUGGAGCCGCAAGUUGGGCUAAGCCUGGCAAGGCUCGGACCGAGUCUCAUUGUCUUGGGUCUAAUCUUUAGUUAGGGUAACUGGUAACAAUAGUGGAGUGAAAAUAUCAUCACGGUAACAACGUCACCAUGUCAUAAAAUAUAUAAAUGAAUAUUUCAUUUAAAUUUACAUGUUAAAACUAAACUAAAACUAACUAACAUGAUGUUUAUGAAAUAUAGUAAUAUUAAUUGGUGAAAAAAGAAAUACUUGUGUUGUUAAUUUUGAUAAUAUUAUAACGAUGCAUAUGUGAUGGAGUCUAACCUAGAAUUAAGAUUCAAAAAAUAGAUAAACACUAUACAAUUUUAAAAGAAUAAUAAUCUCACGUCACGUAGGUACAAAAGUAAGUUAGAAAAACAAAAGAAACUGGUGGCAUACAUGUUCAUUUUUAUAAACUCAAAAGUCAAGGUGAGCAACAUUGAUUGUGAGCACAGAGCUUUGCUAGCCAUGGCUCAAUGGUGGACAGCCACGGAUCAAAGGGAGCACUUCUAGAAUAUAGGUCAACCUGUUUUUUAGCUUCCUGUACUAUUGGUUAGGAUAGCGCAAAGAAUCAGAGUAGUAGGACUCGCCAGCAAAAGGUGAUGAAUUGGAUGUGCUAAGGAGACGAUUAAUGAUAUCAACAGAGGAUGAGCUCCCAUGACACAGUUAUGAGCAUAUGCCACCGUGGUGGCGUGGCAUGGAUUUCUUGCGGACUUAUAGCUACACACUUAUGCUACGAAUUGUUUGCCCAUGUCACGUAUCAUAAAUAUUUAAUCUUAGAACACAAAGUAUUCUCCUUAGGUAAUAUAAUUUUGUUGCACAUAACAUGCUAAAAUUUUUAUUUCUUUAAACCAAAUUGUGUAGUAUGUAAUGCUUAUGUCUCUUCUAGAAUUUUUUUUGUUUGUUGAGAUGAUUUAUUAUCUUUUAAUUUGACUUUCUUAUCUUUAGUUAUUGUUAUGUCUAUCUUAAACAAAUAAGAAAUGUAGGAGGCAGAUUAGGGUGCCUACAUGCAUUUUACACGAAGUAAAAACAUUCUUAAAUUCCAAUCAAAUGGAUGGUGAUGAAAGCAUAUCGAAGCAAUUCUAGCCACGUUGUUUGCGCGGGCCACCUUGCUAGUUAAUUCAACAAAAUAGAAUUCAGUGGUGACUCUUAGAGGUGUCAAUUUGCAGUUUUGCACCUCUACUUCGGAUUGUCUCACACAUUUUGACAUUUUAGGCACUUAGCUCACACAUUUUAGGAGUAUUAUUCAUUGCGACUCUAUGAUCUGGACUUAAAAGGCGAUAGUUAUCUUAGUAUGGAGAGUUUAUGACUCUGCAUUGGACUAGCCUGCGACCAAAGGAUUCAGAUCUGGGCUCAUACUUGGGCCGUUAAACAGUCUAGCCCACCCCGCCCGGAAUAAAACAGACAAGCCCAGCCCAUGGGGAAAAGAGUCGACGGGGAAAUUCUCCCUCCGGCUUUCUCGGCUCCUCCCCUCCAGCGCAACUGCCCUGCAUUGGGGAAUCCACGACCCUGGUCGUUGAGGACGAUGACCGACAAGAUUCGCCGCGGAGUCUUUGAGAAAUGAGAAUCGGAGGCUUCGAGGUGCGCGCAUGUGCCCCAAUCCUCCAUCUCUUCUCGGUCUACCCCCAGGCUCCGCAUUUCCCUCACUUGUCUCCAUGCCUCGUCACAGCAGCAGGACAGUCUCUAGAUAGCAAGUGGAUCUUGGGGACGCGCGCCCUCCUACCUGACGGUCAAUCUUUCAGUGCGGCCUCGCGGAGGUACGGCGGCGGGCUUCCUCAGGUACCUUUCCCCCGCCUUCAACGCCCGCCGGUUUCGUCUGACCGGAGAACAUUGCUUCGUGAGCACACUCCGCACCACAACACAGUGACACCACGCCUCCCAAAAUUGACCUGCUUGCUUACCUUGGACACACGCGCGCAGGAACCACUUCGUCGGCGUUGCUUUCGAGUGACGUCAGAUGUGUGAAGCUGCCCACCCGCUUUGUUCGUGGAGGACUUUCACGGGGAUGUGACAGUUGCCGGAGCUGUGCCGUCCAAGGAAUUGAAGUCGCCAGCUUCCGUUUGCUUGACUGGAAUUCGGUGCCAUUCUUCAAGAAUUGAGGCUCAAAUGCUCAAUUCGCUGCCCUGCCUGCCACUUUCCCCUCCACAACACCAGUUCAUCGCGAGUUGCUUGCAUGAUCCUCGGGGGUCUGCUGCGCUGCGGGUUCUGAUCAGUCUGACAGCUUUCCCUCUGAUUCUUUCGAGGGGACUUCUUGCUCUGGUUUACCUCCUCUAAUAGGUACAGAGGUAUGUUCAUCCGCACCAUGGGUAUGCAUCUAUAAUCAGUUUGUGUGAGAUUAUUAGAUUUGGUACUCUUCUCUUUUGUGCCUAUGCUUUGGAUGUGUAACUCAGCAGAUUCUCCCACUUUUGCCGAUCUUGCGGAGAAAACUAGGAUAGAUCGAAUGGCAUAAACUUGACUAGACUUGCUGAAUGCAGUAGUUGCUAGUCCUAUGUUAUGUUGGUAACAUCCUACGCCUAUUCUAGUUCUACACGUCUACUGGUCUAUGUACCGUUUGUAAUGUUGUCUUGCAGUUAUGUUUUGCGCAUAUUCAGCCUACCUCAAGUCAUAUGCGGUAUUCUAACCCGCAUCUUUUUUCACAUACGCAACAGAGGCCGUCAUUUCUUUAACAAGCUGCUUCAAGUUGAUCAUCCAAUGCCCUUGCAAUUUGCAUACCUACAAGUCUCAGUCACAUCGUAGAUGGCUCAGAACACCUCCGAAGAUGAUAUAGAAAAUGUGCCAUAUUCAGAUCCAAAUUCACCAAUUUUGACUGGAUACGGUAUCUCGGUUCCUAUUCUUGAUGAUGGACUAGUGCAAGGGACGGCCCGUCAUGAACAACGGCUUCUUGAUUUCCUGAAGGCCGCUCCCUCGGUGCAAUGGAUAAAGAAGAUCAAACUUUGUUCGCCAUUGAUAAAAUUUCGGCUGCCAUCCUCUAGCAUCCGCGGCAACCUUCAUGUUCACUUCAUCAGAACAAUCAACUGGGGUUCAGUUUUCACUAUAUGCAAGAAAUGGCUCAAGCAUCCUAUGCACAUGGCUCUCCUAAUAUGGCUGCUCUGUGUUGGUGUUGCUGGUGCCAUGUUAAUCUUGCUUCUGUUAGGACUGCUGAAUGAUGCAUUCCCUUCCAAGUCCUUAAGAAACCAAUGGAUAGAGAUUGACAAUCAAAUCCUUAACGCCCUCUUCACCCUCUUGAGCAUAUACGAGCACCCAAAACUAAUCCACCAUACUGUUCUCCUCUACCGGUGGCAGCCAGAGGAUGCAGCCGAGCUCAGAAAAUAUUAUUGCAAGAAUGUGGCACGCCGUCCCAAUGAGCGAGCACACAUAUCCUUUGUGGUGUUUCUCCUCCACAUCACUUGCAUCUCCCAGUAUGCCGACUGUAGCCUCUACUGGGCCUACCCCAGCAAAUCACGCUCUGAGUUUGCUGACAACUUCUUCUUCGUCCUAGGCAUUGCUGCACCGGUUCUUGCUGGAGUGUAUGCAGUGUACAGCCCUCUUGGCGGAGACUACGAGGCUGUGUCUGAUGAAGAAACCAAAGUACUGGACGCAGUUCUAGUCGAGUCAUCAGAAACAAGAACAGUGGUGAGCAAUCCCGCGUGGGCAGGUGGGCUGUUUGAUUGCAGCGAGGACCCCACAGCUUGCUACCUUUCUUUCCUCUUCACGUUCUGUGUGUUCGGCUGGAACAUGGAGCGACUUGGGUUUGGCAACAUGUAUGUGCACACAUUCACGUUCCUGCUGCUGUGUGUCACGCCAUUCUGGUUGUUCAACAUCACAGCGAUGAACAUCCACAGCUACAUCCUUGGUGAUUUCAUUGGUGCUGCGGGGAUUAUCCUGUGUUUCUUUGGCCUUCUAUAUGGGGGUUUCUGGAGGAUCCAGAUGAGGAAGACAUUUGGGCUGCCCAGAAACAGGUGGUUCUGUGGAUCAGCAUCGUUGACAGACUAUGUGCAGUGGCUGUUCUGCUGGCCAUGCGCUCUUGCGCAGGAGGUGCGCACAGGGAACCUAUAUGAUGCUAAGGAUGGGAAAUUCUAUAAGAAACUGAUGGAUGGUGUUGAUGUGGAGAGCGGACCAGAAUUUAUAUUUGUGACGGAAUCGCCGGUCUCUAUGGGAGUAGAAGAAGGGAAUGGUAUCAAUGUCAAACUCGCGGCAGAUGGUGAAAUGAUCCCACCCACCCAACCAGUAAUAGAAUGUGGGGAGAGGGAAGGAACUGAUUCAGAAGUUGUGGCGAAUGGUAGCAUCCAGCUCAAAAGCGAACCCACUGCUAAAGGAUGAUUUGAGUUGUGGUGUUCAAAAGUAGCCAAGUCAUUCUUCUUCUUUGAUUGACACCACCUUUCAGCACUAUGCUCUUUUGUUGUCCAUUCCUGUUUAGUUAGUCAUUUAGCUAAUUUACAUUAAAAGGAAAAUGGAAUGAGUAGGCAAUGAUAUCAGGAAGUACAGCGGCAAAUAGAUGUAAAAAAAACUGUUAUGUUUAUACCAGAUGUUACCUAUUUGAAGCUUACAAUGUCAAGAGAGAAAAAAAUUCUCCAUUUUAUAAUGUUUGGUCGCUAUAUCAAUAUCAGGUUUAAGCCUCUUAUAGAGCAAUUAUGUAACUCCUCUAAUGUAAUCAGUAACUUAAUUGGUUGGAGACAGUUCAAAAGACAAAAAGGAGAUUCUUAUCUACCCUAUUCCUAUAUCAUAGCCGUUGGCUGUAUGGAGUGCUCCUUUAAGUGUGAAAUGCCUGACCCCAUGAACUAUUGUAAAGUGCAUGCUUUAUUUUUCACGGUGGAGAACAAAAGUAGGAGUUGCUUGCAUGAAAGAGAAAGGUUCGGAUGCAGCUAUAUAUGCUCCAGGAUGCAGAGAGAUGGACAUCUUCUAUUUGAAAGCUGUUUGAGGAGUUUGUGCACAGCAACUCUCUGGAAACCAUGGCUGUAAGUUGCAACCGGCCCUUUUGUUUGUUACCUGAACUACUUGAAUCUUGGAAGUAUAUCAUGCUUGUAUAUAUGCUGAUAUGCACGACAAACUCGAGUCUGAAAGUCAUCUUUGGGCACAGGUUGUGGAGCUGAAGGUUGGAAUGCACUGUGAAAGGUGCAUCAAGGCGAUUAAGAAGGCCAUAAAAACGAUCGACGGUAAGCCUGUGGUCAACUCAGUUCUUCUCCCCAUACCAUACAAUCAUUGACUUUCAGUCAUCUAAGUAUCUAACUGUGCACAAAUGGGUGGUGCAGAUAUGGAGAGCUAUCAGCUCGAGACGGAGAUAAACAAGGUCACCGUGACAGGAAACGUUACAUCGGAGGAAGUCGUCAAGGCUCUCCACAAGAUUGGGAAGACGGCAACCUGCUGGGCGGAAGAUUGAGAGCUGAUGGUUGAUGGUUUUCUCAGCCCCACUCUGACAAUCAUUUAGCUAGCUAGUUAGUACUUACCACCGGUAACUUGAGUUAUCAUCUAGCAAAUUACUAGCAAGUAGUAUUAGUUAGUCUGCUUUGCUUGUGUACCAGGAGCUUCAUACACUGUAGAUGUAGAAAUAAGCAGACACGCAUGCUGUGAAAAGCCGGUUACUGCUAUGCGCAGUUGCUUGAUGCAAAUCGUACCAACUUGUUUACGUUCUCACAGGUCAUACGUGCAUGAUAAACCUGCCGAUUUGAGAACGUGUCAACCAGGUUGCCUAAUGACCGUGCCAAGGAGUAGCACUCCUUGACCAUUUCCGCUCCCCAGACGUUGAUCCAGCCCUGCGAAUCUGCGAUCGGCUGACCUGCCUGCCUCGGUUCCCCCGACAUUCGGUGAAAGACCGCUGCGUCGUGGUCUCGUGGAACCACGCUGCUUGCUCCUGCUGUUUGCUGACAGUUACAGGCUCACCGCCCUGCUUUCUUCUUCUUCCCCGCGUGUCACGGCCGCUGCUCAUCCUGGUUCAGAAGAUCGCUGGGUCAUCCGUUUGAACAGUUCCGCUUGGGUGCCGUUGCCAUGCCAGACUCGUCAGAUGUUGCCGCGUGAACGCUGUCCAUGCAAUUCGCAAACCAUAUCGGAACUUUCCCAAAACUGUUCAAUCCAUCAAUCAUUAUUCAUUCACAAGUCAUAACGAGUGCCGUAUCGCAGUGUUUAAUAGAAACUGAAGAGAAGGAGAUGGAGAAGCACGUGCCUGUUAUACUCUGUUACAGUAGCAGGCGCUACCCAGGCCUUGUUUAGUUGCUAAAGUUUGGAGUGCCAAAUUACUGUUACAGCACUGUAGUAUACUGUAGCGUUUCGUUUGUAUUUGUGAAUUAUUGUCCAAACAUUGACUAAUUAGGCUCAAAAGAUUCGUCUCGCAAAGUACAACAAAACUGUGCAAUUAGUUUUUAAUUUCAUCUACAUUUAGUACUCCAUGCAUAUACCGCAAGUUUGAUGUGAUGGGGAAUCUUCUUUUUGUAUAGUGCCAAAGUUGUGAGUUGGGGGUGAACUAAACAAGGGCCCAGUGGCAGGCAAGCUGGGCAGUGGAGACAGCAACAAGACAACUAACAGCGAUCGGCGCCUGCUUGUGGGAGAAGAAACGAGGAGCGGCUGGCGAGGCAUCAGCAUCAGUCGGUGCAGUGACGAGCUGCUAGGCGCUAGCAGAUGAACGGCGGGCAGGCUGGAGAGUCCGCGUACGGUCGAAUUGACAACACGCCGGCCGCCGUUCGUCCUCGUGGGCAGGAACAAGUGACCCGAACGUCCGCUAGUUCUUGCGAUGCGACACAGCAGGGCUAGGGCUGGCGAUGGCGGUACUGCAGUGCGAUGCUCCGAUCUUGUCUCCGGUCGGGACUCGGGAGGUAUCUUCCGGGAAACUUUUCUCCGCACCGUCGCGAGGAAAAAUCAACCCUUGAUUUGAUAUGUUUGAUGCAUUUGCUUCAUUUCCAAGGUGUUGGCAUUUAAUAGGAUUCAAUCCCUUGUUUACAUGGAGUCAUGGAAGAACUAGGUUGGAAUGUCACCGUUCUCAACGCUUGGGAGACCUGCCAGUACCUGACAUGUUCCAGCUCUAACUAGGGAUUAUGCAGGUUUUGCUUUUGUGCCUUAGCCAUUGGGUCAGCCCAAACCCCAUUCAGUCGAGCUGAUUUGAAUUUGAAAGCAAAUAAAAUAGGAUAAUAACAGCAAAAAAAACUAACUAACGAGGUGGCCUACAACUACGCAAACAUGUGUGUCACCGCGUACUCUGUACGCGUAGGCCUCAAGUCUCGCUAAUAAACAUACUCCGUAGUACACAUGGGUGUUCAUUAUCAGAGCUGAACAUGAUGAUAACAUCGCGUACUCUGCAAGCGUACGUAGGCCUCAGGUCUCGCUUCUCUUGUCAGCAGUUACGUCUUUCCUUAGAAAACACGUUGCAUAAAGAACGAAGAAGAACGCGUUCAGGUGCUGUUGUUUUACGCGACGGUGCAGAAGCAGAAUCCACAAGACGCAAGCUACCUUGUGCAGCGACGCAUGCGCUUGCAUCGGCGUGCACAGUGGACCGAAAACAACAGAUCCUUGACCGAGUACGAGCACGAACUACUCAGCCAGUCAGUUACCACCGUGCCACUUCGUUCAGGUUUCUGAACUUCAUUCUAGUCCAUUUCUGAAGAGACAGGCUACUGAAUUCAGACGAGUGAAAAAGGGGAGCCAUUAGAACAUUCAGAAACAUGGACUGGUUCCCAUAAAAAGAGCUGUAGCAUCUCCCCUGGACACUUACAGUAAUCCAAUGGGUAACACACACCUUCCAAGCAGCAUGGAGCUAGAUUGGUGAAGCUUCCACAAAUCUUACUUUUUCUAGCAAAGAGACGACGGAGGAGUCUGUCCAGAGGACACCAGGGGAUGGUUGGGGUCAUGGAGCUCAGAGAGGAGAGGAGCUCUUUGCAGGCUUGCAGCACCGCACGGAACAGCUGCCUCACUGCUCACCAAACACCGCAUAGAAACGUCAGCCCGUGGACCCAUCAGUCUACGGCCACCAAAACGGAGUGAAUUUUUUUUUAAAGGCAGGACGAAAGGAUUGCUGCCUCUUUAGCAUCUGACGCCGAAAACUCUAGGAUAAUCGCGUGCCGGUCACAUGCGAGUCUGUAUCGUUAAACAAUUUGCGAGUGGAGUGAGAUACCUACCUGGUGCCGUACUGCCGUUAGUUGGUUCGCCGGGGGUGGGGGGCGGGGGGUGGGCGUUUGCUGCAAAAGUUGCACAAAGAACGGCGUUUUGUUUUGUCCUGGCGACUUGGUCGCGCUGAAGAAUGGUCUUCUGCUAAGAACCGCUCGCCAGCAGUAACCAUCACGGGAACUUCUUUUCUCAGCACGGAGGAUUAAAAAACAAUGGCAUAUCAACCCGUGGUACAGUAAUUUUAAGAGUGUUUAAAGUUUCUGCAUAAAUUUAGUGUCCACAGCUAAUUAAAAAAUCAAUAUUUGGUUUACCAAUUUUGAUAUAUGUGUGUGUGUGUGUUACAUACGUGUCAAAGAAAAUGAUAUCGCCUGCUGCAUUUAUUGUAUCAUUAUUCCUAACCUUCUAUUUUGAUUUUUUAUAAUCUAGAAUCUAGGUCCAAUACAGUGACAUAAACAAGCAUGUCAGCCUGCAUGUGGUGCCUGAGAUAUCUGAUUUCCUCUAUAAAAGAGCUAUGAGUGUAGUCAUAUACUUUUCUUUUUUUAAAAAAUGGACUUCUUAUAGCUAAAUUAUCUAUUAUAUUGUUUUUGGCAAAAUAUAGUAAGGUUAUCUAAAGGAAGCUUAUGAUAAAUGUUGUCAUGGAGUAUAAAUAUGAUUUUACACCAACCAUGACCGCCAAUGGUACGUAUGCGACUCUUUAAGGCUUUUGUUUGGAUAGUAGUGAACUGAAGUGGAAUUGGAGGGAUUGGAGGGGAGAUUAAUUCAUUUUAGACUCAAUUCCUUUCGUUCCACUUCAAUCCACUGCUUCCUAUACAAGGCCUAAGAUCAUGAUUGCUAAACCAUGAAUUUGGAUAUUGUCCGUUGCUCAGUGCAUACAUGUAUACUUGGUUUGCAUGGCAACACACUUAUGUAUUUGUACUUUUAGCUGGAUUUUUUAGUUGUUCGGUAGAAAUAUGUAAUUAGGACGCAUAGAGGUAGUUUGGUUAUUAAUGAAAGAAAUGUGUGUUUAGGUGCGCAUUUGGAAGCUAAUUCAGAUUAUUUUAAUAAAGAGAUAUAGGUAAUUUAGAUGGAGAUUAGGGGCCGGUUUAGUUAUUUUUCAUAGUGGCAAAAUGGGUAAUUUAUAUGCAAAUUAGGGUUAGUUUAGCUAUUUUUAGAGGGGCAGAGGCAAGUAAUUUAGAUGUAAAUUGUAUCCAAUGAUUGUCGACCUACAAAAUCAAUGGUAGGAUGCUUUGUGUUUUUAGCAUUUCUAUUUUUUUUCCCUACAGCAUCCCGUGAGAAUCAAGAGGCUUCAAAACAGUUUCCAAUUAAUAUCUAAAAAAACAGCUUCCAAUUAAGAAUACCGAUAUAAGACGGUGAAAAAAAUAGUGGCAUGAUCAGUGAUGACACUAGUCACGUGUUUACUCUCAUGCAUGACAAGUGCAUUGGAUUGCUGGAUUUCCUACCAGUCUCCCAGCUCAUCAUAUCACGGAGCACUGAAUUUGGAGUCCGGACGGAUCCUAGCUAGCCUUCCCAGGAAGGCAGGAAACACAUGCCUACCAAUCAAAACCAUGCUGUCGAGGAAGGUUUUCGCGCAAAUUGAACACGCCUAUACACCUCCCAGAUCACAUGCCUCGCAUGCAGUAGCGCCGCUUCUCAAGAAUCACAUGCCUGCUGAAUGCGUAAUCAUUUUCAAGGAGAUCAUCGAUAUGGCCCGUGGCCCAGGAGGCGCCUGAAUUUGUGCCUAACUUCACCGGGUUGAGCCAUAGCCCCUAUUUGGCGCCGAACCCAUGCAUCUCGAACGCAUUCUAAACGACAUCUGAAUUGGACCGGAUGUGGUUGUGUGUUACUCUGCUCUUUGCUGCUUCAUUGCUUCGUCACUUCGUCCACGGCUACUGAAUUUCAUUGCGUAUAUGUCAUUUUUCAACACGAUACAGCCUUAAAUCUUACUAGGUUCAGAAAAGCUUUACCUAACAUGCGCAUACUAAUCUGCUUAUGGCACUAUGCAGUUUACCGAGUAGUGAAAAGAAACAGGGAAAAAGGUCAAAGAACUUAAUUCCGCUUACUAGGUUCAUUCUGAUUAAGGAAGAAAUUCAUAAAAGAAUAAGAAUCGUUUGACAAUUUUCAAUAGCCCGAAAAAAGUUAUUAUCUCUCGAUCAUCUAAAUUAAAUGGUUUAAUCCAAUGGCUCUAAGUUUAGCAAAAUCCCCGUUACCGUAAAACACUCUCUAAUUUCAAAUGCCCAGCUCUUGAAAGCAACUGAAGAAAGAACCAUAAACUCACGGUCAUUGAUCAUGCACACGCACAUCCUUCAAAUAAUUAAAGCCGAAUCAGUUCCAUAAUUCAUGAAUCUUUUCAUCACGAGCUUAGAUCGGUAAUAAACUUCGAAUUUAAAGAAAAAUUGUUUAAUUGAAUCACAGUCGUCCAUCUGAUCCCCACAAUACCAUUGGACGUUUGAGCAGGUCAAAGAACCAGUUCGUGACCACCAACUCAACCUCUCACCCGAAACCCUACCCCGCCCGCGCACCCGCCUCACACGGCAGCAGCCACGUCGCCGCCGCGCGGCCACGGUGCGCGCUGCUACUGGUGGGUAUCGCUCGCGUCACCCCGUCGCGAGGCUGGCCUGGCCAGCGCGCGCCGCCAGUCAAACACCACGAGCUUUGACCGGUCAACAGUCAAAGUUUCCAAGCCUAUAUAGCCCCCGCGCAACUCCGUCCAAACAAUCCAAGGCAGCUAGCUCUCGUUCGUUCGCUCCACCUCCUCCUCUCCCACCUCAUCGUCCUCCUCCAACGUGCCGGCCAGCCCGGACGUACACGCCGAACACGACGCGACACCUCCACACACACGCGCGACCAAUCGUCGCAGAGCGCCGCCGCGGGAUUGAUCGAUCCAGAGCUGUGACUUUCUUGAGCUUUGUUCGGUCGACCCCCGAUGACCACCUCGUCGUCCGGGAGCAUCGAGGCGCCGGCGAACUCGAGGCCCGGCUCGUUCUCGUUCGCGAGCACGAGCUUCACGGACAUGCUUGGGGGCUCCGCGGGCGCGGCCGGCGGGGCGUCGAGGUACAAGGCCAUGACCCCGCCGUCCCUGCCGCUGUCUCCGCCGCCGGUGUCGCCGUCGUCCUUCUUCAACAUCCCCGGCGGCCUGAACCCCACCGACUUCCUCGACUCGCCGGCCCUCCUCACCUCCAGUGUAAGUAAGCACGGAAGAACCCCAUCAAAGCCCGCGCCGCCAUUGCCUUCGCCAUUUCUGCGUGGGGUGUGGUCGCGCGGCCGUGGGGCUUUGACUUGUCGCGCUGCACCACAUGUCGUUGCUACGUGGAAUGCUGAUGCGCUUUGCACGUUCCAGAUCUUCCCGUCGCCGACGACGAACGCAUUCGCCUCGCAGCAGUUCAGCUGGCUGUCGCCGCAGGGCGCGGAGCAAGGCGCCAAGGAGGAGCAGAGGCAGUCGUACCCGGACUUCUCGUUCCAGACGGCGCCGACGACCGAAGAGGCCGUGCGGACGACGACGACCUUCCAGCAGCCACCGGUCCCACCGGCGGCCCCACUGGUGAGAUCACCAUCCAUCCAUUUCAUCCACUCUGCUGUCACCCUCUCGUGGGUUCCUAGCUGACUUUGUCCAAAAUGGACUACUGCUAGCAUAGUAUCCUAGACUAAUUUGUUAACUAAGCACACAACUAUAAAACAACACUCGGGGUAACAUCAUGUCAUGAUCUCGUAAUCUUUUUGUUUGUACUAUAAUCGUCAAAGAUAAAAUCGUACUAAUAUACUUUGCAACACUUCAGGGUGAAGAUGCAUACAGAAGUCAGCAGCAGCAGCAGCAGCCAUGGGGCUACCAGCAGCAACAAGGCAUGGACGCGGGCUCCAACCAGGCGGCCUACGGCGGGCCGUUCCAGGCGGGGUCGUCGGACGCCGGCGCGAUCGUGGCGCACGUUCCGGCGAGCGGCGGCGGGUACAGCCAGGCGCAGUCGCAGAGGCGGUCGUCGGACGACGGGUACAACUGGCGCAAGUACGGGCAGAAGCAGGUGAAGGGGAGCGAGAACCCGCGCAGCUACUACAAGUGCACCUUCCCGAGCUGCCCAACCAAGAAGAAGGUGGAGCGGUCGCUGGACGGCCAGAUCACCGAGAUCGUGUACAAGGGCACGCACAACCACGCCAAGCCGCAGAACACGCGCAGGAACUCCAGCGCGGCAGCGCAGCUGCUGCUGCAGGGCGGCGGCGACGCGUCGGAGCACUCGUUCGGAGGCACGCCCGUCGCGACGCCCGAGAACUCGUCGGCGUCGUUCGGGGACGACGAGGCAGGCGCGGGCUCGCCGCGGGCCGGGAACGCCGGCGGCGACGAGUUCGACGAGGACGAGCCGGAUUCCAAGAGAUGGUGAGUUCCCGGUUACAAAAAGUCUUCGCGCCAAGUUGUCUCUGCUGCGUUGUUUAUUCGAACACAAGUGGAAUUGAAUCCCUUUUGCUUUUGUCAGGAGGAAAGACGGUGACGGCGAGGGGAUCUCCUUGGCCGGCAACCGCACGGUGCGCGAGCCGAGGGUCGUUGUCCAGACCAUGAGCGACAUCGACAUCCUCGAUGACGGCUACCGCUGGAGGAAGUACGGGCAGAAGGUGGUGAAGGGAAACCCCAACCCAAGGUAAGAACAAAACGAAAAACACAUUUUUUUUACUUUUUAAUUGUUGAAUGAUAGUGCUUGUUGCGCUGCAAGUGUUGGUUUGUGCUUACCGAUCAUCAUUUUCUUUUGGUGGCUACAGGAGCUACUACAAGUGCACGACGGCCGGGUGCCCGGUGCGGAAGCACGUGGAGCGCGCGUCGCACGACCUGCGCGCCGUGAUCACCACGUACGAGGGCAAGCACAACCACGACGUGCCCGCCGCGCGGGGCAGCGCCGCGGCUCUGUACCGGCCCGCGCCGCCGCCGCCGGCGGACAACUACCUCGCCGCGCCCGCCGGCGUGAGGCCGCCGGCCAUGGCCUACCAGACGGGGCAGCAGUACGGGUUCGGCGGCCAGAGCUCGUUCGGCCUCGGCGCCCACGCGCCGGCACAGAGCGGCGGCUUCGGCUUCUCGUCCGGCUUCGACAACGCGAUGGGGUCGUACAUGAGCCAGCACCAGCAGCAGCAGAGGCAGAACGACGCCAUGCACGCGUCGAGGGCCAAGGAGGAGCCCAGGGAGGACAUGUUUUUCCCGCAGUCGAUGAUGUACAACUGACUGAACAAGGACCGCGGACAAAGACAUCGCGGGAAAUGGCAAGACAUGACGUGAUGUCCAUAAUUGUUUCUUUGCGUAGGGUUGUUGUAUCUAGGAUAGGGUUGAACAGAUUUCUUUAUUUGUUUGGAGGACUCCAUCCAUGUUGGCAGAUGGUUGCCAAAAGGGUGUGCCUCCCUUAACACGUGGAGGGGGAAGAAAAGGAUGUAGGAUACUAGGAGUGUAGGACACAGGACAAGGUAGAAAAGGGGUAUCAACAGUUUUGUUCUAAGAUUUUUUUUUCCGCAGGGAAAUGUUGUAUUCAAAAUCAAAUUGAAUUUUAGAUCAUAGAACAUCGUUCAAGAUUCAAAUGGAUCGACCUUUGAUACACUUAGGCGCGCUUGUGCUGUGGUGUGUUUUUGCCGCGUAGACAUUGCAAAGCAGGUUUACCGAUCAGCAAAAUAUUAUGAUUGCAUAGAUAAGUUAACUAAGGCAGGUACAAAACUCUUACUGAGGUGAGUGUGCGUGCGUGUGCGUGUGAACGUCUACGUCUGUUCGUUUUUUCUAAAAAAAAGUACAUUGCAAGAACUAGUUCAAAUCAAAAGCCUAAAAUGAGAAAGAAAUGUGAGCAAUCCAUUCAUAUACGUCAACACUUAUUAUCACAAUCACAUAACCAAUCUCGCUUCCCUGCCAAACUGCACUUACCACCCCAAUGGUUCGUCUCUACACGGCUACACCUCCAUUGUCAGGUGCACGUACGCACGGCCCAAAUGCAAUGAGUACAAAUGUAGAAUCGGUCAGCAGCUCUUAGCAUGCUGGUCCCUCAUGUAUGAGUUUUUUAAACGUGUACAAGGAUUCGACCGUGGAUUUUGACCACGGUUCCUCCAUACCUAACUCAGGAGUACCAGCUGAAGUUUCUAACCGACCGUUUGUCCGAAAACAAACGGUUGCACUCUGGAGAGUCUCUCUGAACCACAGAGCAAGGCCGUGCAAAGUCAGCCGCACUUAAUUUAACGCGGCGAGCGAGGUCAAAAUCUGUUCAACAAACACUGACACCAUCCCCUAUGGUACUCCUCACGUUGCUCCUCGGACCUCGGGUGCCACUGCCAGAUGAGAGGUGGCUAGCUUUUCACGAGCCCUGCGCCAUUCGGCAACCGAUUUGCGCGUUCCCAAGCGCAGCUCCGCCCCGGGUCACGGACCGAACGCGUAGGCGCAGGGGGGGUGGAAUGGAGCGCUCGCGCGGCGGCCACAGGCCCACAGCAGCCCGCGAGGGCGGCGCAGACGGCGGGCGGAGGCAGCCGCUCGCUAGGCGCCGGCGCGCCCCAGCCUCCAGCUCGGUUGGGCGUUGGAUGGGGGCAUGGGACGGGCGCGGCGCGGCGUGGCGUGACGUGGCAUGCAGGACUGGAUCAAACAGAGCAGCGGUCGCGGCUCCCGUCGCCGUCCCCUUCCGAGGACGUUGAUGCGGUCAGCCGGUCAGGGAGGGAUUCGAUCGGCCCGGCCCGGCUCGGCGGGGCGCCAGAGCGUGCGGUCGAGGGAUUACGCUAGCCAACUCGGCGAGGCAGGCAACUCGGUCGCCGAUCCCCUGCACGUCGCGGUCGCAUUUGACAUGGCCGGCGCGGCGCGCCCGGGGGGCAUAUCGGAAGAGCCCCCGUCGGUUUUUGCUGCUAAAUUUGUCGAAAGUCCUACGGGGGCAACGCACGGGCGCGCGGCGCGGUUGACGGAUUGAGCUGCACAGGAGUGCUAGGAUCCGAUUGGCUGCGACGCCGUUGGGGACGAAAUUUUUGAAAAUUUACUGUUGGGGACGAAAUUAGUAGCGUCUGCUGCGCGAGGCUGCUGGGGUUCUUCUACCCCUGAAAACGACUGAGAAAUGAUGGAGUCAUCGAGGAACCAGCAAGUCGGUCUCCAUGACUACCGCCGGCAGUCCCUAAAUCGCUGUCGUUCAUUGGCAUCUAACGGAGCAAGCUGAGCCCAAGCACUCUACCUCGUUCGCACGUUGUGUGGCCCAACAACACGGCCCGUUAAGCGUAAAAAAAAACAAUGGGCAGCCCCUGCCGAGAGCUCCCUAUGGAUAGGGGAAAUCGCCACCGUCAUCUUCUGCUCGAGUGCCGCGCCGUCACCAUCCCGUCGUGGAGAGCCGCGCCGUCGUCAUCCCCUCAUCCAGAGAUGCGCCAUCGCCAUUCCCUCUCCCAGAGCUGCCUCGUCGAUGUCCCUUCGCUGCAAGCUGCAUCGUCGCUGCUCCCUCGUCGAGCGUCUCGGCAUCGUCGUCCCUCAUCGAGCAUCGUCGCCAUCAUGGACGCUGCCGCCCUGCAGCGUUUCCACCUCACCCACGUCCUGCACGCCUUCUACCCAUGCAAAGCUCGAACUCGACUAGCUGCAGACACGGCUGCUGACCUCCAUGAGCUUUUUCAAUCUCUAAUGCUCUAAGUACAGUCUGCAGAGCAUGCCUGUAAAGUGCAAUUUGUGCAAGAACUUGCAAACUGUAAAUUGUGGUUGUAUCGAAAGCAUCAAAAUCAUGCAAAUUUUAUAGAUUACCAUUGUAUUGUAAAUUUUCAUGGAAUUGAAUAAAAAGUAUUGCUGAUUGUUGCAAAUUCAGAGAUGCACAAAAUGUUCUGUUCUCUGGCAUCCGGUAGGCGUAUAUGACCUUAUUGCUGGUCAUAUGAACUUUACAAUUCCCUGAACUUUAUACUUGAACCACAGAUGCAAAAGCUAUUCUCCAAAACAACUAUGUUUCAGGAGGCAAAAGGCAUUCUUCCUACUGCAAAUAUCCAUACUACUAGAAUUCAGCAAUAACAUUGUGUUGUAAAUUGAUUUGGAAUGCUAUUGUGAAUGCAACGCACAAAAGAUGUAACUCUGUACUGCUAAACUUCACCAAUAACACCAUCUGUCAUUGCUCCCUGAAAAAUAGAAAAAAAAUAAUUCAACAUAAUGACCAUGUAUAAUUCAGAGGAAACUGUAUUACUUUAUAAUAUUACCGUCAAUAGUUGAGAGAAACUAUUGAUGACUGUGUAUGAUUCAGAGAUCUCUUCCUGAGGUAAAGAUGGAUGGUUCAGGCAUGUAUUUUGUAGUGUUGCGCCAUCAUCGACUGACACUUUUAUAGUCUGUUGCUACUGAUCAGAUAGAAGAGAAUCAAAUAGUUAAAUACAAUUGAAACUUUUUGUAGCGAGUACAGUUAGAGAGAAUUUGAUAUAUUUUGUGUUGUUUAAAUACCUUUGAACAUUUUUCUUUUUUCUUCUCACAAACCUUCGAACUUUUUUUUUCUUGUCACACACCUUUGUACUAUUUUCUUUUUUGUUACCUCCUUUUUUUACACUUGCGCUUCUUGUCAAGCCAAGUUCUUUUGCGCUUCGAGGUUUUGGUUUCCACCUCCUUUUUCUUUAGGCUUGCUGUACUCAACAAUUCAUUAGGCAGAGUCACAUUGGUGGGAGCAAUGAUGGGAUCCAUAAGGCUUGUAACACCUUUCAUUUCUUCUCCAACUUGCUUCUUGGGGGCGUGACCUUCGCCUCAAGGUCGCAUCUUGGGGGCGUGACGCGGGGCCGUGGCGUCCUUCUGGUCGUCCUGUCACCCUCUUGGUCACUGUCCUCACCGGUUGUCCCUUCCGGCGGGGCGUCCGUCGGCGCACGGGGGUGAGACGGCCUGCGGCGGUGGUGGCGGCGUCCGCUGCGGCCGCACGCGGGUGGCAGCUUGCGGCGGCGGUGGCGCUGCUACCACUCGCCAGAGCGCCGCCGGCAACGACGACGGCCACGAGGACGCCGAGCCGGUGGAGCUACAACGAUGACAUGCCAAGGCUGCCCCUGCACCGAGCCAGGCCUACCCCUCCUCGCCUCGGUUGCCGAGGACCCCUUGUCGUCUUAGUCGCCUUCUUCCUCCUUCCCUUCCCUCUCCCCCUCCUCCCUUCACCCCACCGCACACAGGUCGUGCUCCAGUCGCUCCUCUUGGUCGUUGCCUUUGCUUGUAGGUGCCCCCCCUGCGUCGUUGCCUCCCACCCUGCCGCUGUGAGUCGCUCGCUCUUGUUGCUCGCUUUUCUGCCAAUGGUUGUUGCUCGUGGGCCAUGCCUCCUCCGAACGUCUUCUUCGCUGGGAGGGAUGGAAAGAUGGCUCUUCGUUUUCUUAAUGGUGCUUCGGGUCGCCACCUCAUCGUCGAGUGUUCCUAGGAAGAGGGAGGGUUUCGGUGUGGGCUCCUCUGGCGGGCCUGCCUGCUUCCCCUUCGAUCGCCUGGUCGCUCCCUGGUCAUUUUUUCGAUCAUCAUGACGGCAGUCCCUUUCUACUGUGCCUGCGGAUGUUCUUCAUCCGUCGUCACCAUGAAUUACUCGAUGCUAUCCCAUCACUUUGGCUAUCAUCCAAACCUCGGAGGUCUACCGUGCGGAGGUUGUUUUGGGGGCCUUUGGCUAAAGCCUUGCCGGGCAUUCAUUGGGGCCAACGACGGUUGCGUCCUUGGACGUAGCUCAUCUCGCUGGGGGCGUUAUUGCGGCCACCAAAUCCAGUAGUUUUUGCCAGGUGAAGAUUUGGUCUGCUCCCCGGAGACAGACGGACGAUGGCGGCGUUGUCGUCACUUCUUCCCUGGAGGCAUCGUCAUGCAGAACAUUCUCACUCUACCUUCGCUGGUUUCUGGUUGUUAGACAGUCGGUGACGUGUGUGUGUUUAUGGCGUCUUUCUCUCCCGCAGGCUUCAAUUGUGUUAGGUCGUGUUUUGUGUGGUGGUGGUGAGGUGGUUUUCUUUUUUUUUUUUGUCGUGUUUAUGUUGUUUAUCGCCGGUCGUGACUUUUGUAACUUUGCACUUUGGAAUUUCUCCUGAAACUGCAUCGUUGUAAUUCUUCUCUUUUUAAUGAAAAACGUGCUAUCACGUCUUAAAUUUUUUUUUCCCUAGAGUACCCUACUCCAGAGGUAACACGUCAUGUGUGCCGAAAAGCGUCGGAGAAAUAGCAGCUAAUCGAGGAGGGCGAUCGAUGCUUCUUUAGCACCCUUUCCUGUAUGACUAACAGAGGCCGAGAGGCGGCAUGUUAGUGCUGUGCGAACUUGAUCUUCCUUAGUGCUGGAGCACCAUCUCCCAUGGUCAGAACAUUUUUUUAAGAUGAUGGCCAGAGCAUUUUUGACUUUCAGAUUUGUUGACUGUAAAUAUUUUCAAGUCAGCUAGCCCCUUUCACAAAUUUCAAAUGCUCUCUUUUACGGGCCAAACUGUGCAUUCAGCCCAACAAAGCCUCUAGGCCCAAAGACACAUUCCCCUGUGGCACAGCUAGCCUUAAGAGUUCUGCUGCGUAGUUUUUAGAUAAAGUUUCUGCUCCGUGUAUUUGGCUAUUUGCAUUGGCAAUCCUCUAAAAGGAAUCUGGCACACCAGCGUCAGAAGAACUCAUCGAAUCUUUGUGUAAGUUAUGAAUUACCAUUCGAGUGCAUGUGCUGUUGAGGUGAGCACACCGAAAUGCAUGGCUUGUGAGGGUACGAUGGGCGCCCCAUGUUAUGUUGGCUUCGUCAAGGCAACGCAAGACGUACCACCGCUCGGUGGCAGAGGCAGAACAAAUGAAGCAGGUCCUGGUAGAUUUUUAAACAGCUAAAGGUUUGCAACUUUGCAUAAUUGAAGGAACCUACACGCUCAUCUCCAUUUCCUGCUCCUGGAUCUGUCUUUGGUCUUAACACUGCAUAUUCUCUGAGUACGUUAUUUAAGCUAAGUUGCACAUAAACCAGAGGAGUAUUUAAUUUGAAGUAGUACGUGCGUAUGAUUGCUAGCAAUGCAAUUUGCUUCCAAUUUUUUCCAUUUUACUUUAGCUUUAAAGCACUGAAUGCCCUCCAUCAUGUCAGUUUUUCUAUUGGUGUACGUGGGCAGAAAUUAAAACAGAGAAAAGUUAACAGGUGACAAAUUUGUUUCAAAUUUCGGAUGAACUCAACCAAAUCUCUGUACAGUUUGGGGCUCUUACAAUUUAUUUUGUCACAAUUUCCCCCCUCAUCUCCCGAGCUAAAGACCGCUCAACCCUUUGGACAUCGCAAUACAGAGUCGUCAGGGGAUCGAGAGGUGAGAACCGGCCGGACGGGGACACGUCCUCGAUCGUGGUAUUCACAUCGGCAGAUCAGAAAGAAAACCAAAAGAAUAUAAGCGAGACCAAAGGAGAAGAAGAGAGGGCUCUUCGAGCUCUCUAAUCCGAGGCCUCCUCCACGAUGCUCUCCAGCUGCGGCCGCCACACGCCGACGCGGGCGCCGCUCCGCCGUCUCCGGUGGCCGCCGCUCGACGCGGUCUUCUCGGAGAGCAGCUCCCUUAGGUAGUUGUCCUGCUCCGCCGUGUCGCCGGCGCUGCUCUUCUUGGAGUGGUGGUGGUGGCGGCUCGGCCGCUUGCUGCCGCCGCUCUUCUUGGAGCUACCCUGCUUCUUGCUCCUCCGGUCCGCCGGCAGGGUAGCCGAGGGGAUGAGGAAGUAGAUGCGGCCGCGCUUGAGCUCGGAGUCCGGCGACACGAUGACGAGCUUCUUGGAGGCGCAGCCGGGCGCGCCGGAGGGGGACCACGCCGUGGUGAGCGUGUGGUUGGGGUUCGCGGCGAGCACGGAGGCCGCGGCCACCGGGCAGCUGAACUCGUCGACGUGCCCGCUGAGGUGCACGAUGCGCACGACGUCGAGGGCGCCGCAGGGGACCAUGCAGGCCAGGCAGCACCGCAAGCUGUUGCCCAUGUCGCUGUCGUCGUCGUCGGCGUCGGCGGUGGUGGCGCUCGACCGCUGGGCGUGGGCACAGCUGGAGCCUGGAGCUGGGGGCUCCUUUGAUUGGGGUUGCUGUUGCCGGUGAUUGGAACUCGGAACUCCUUGUGAUGAUGGGAGUGGCGGAGGCUAGCUGCGCGUAUAUAUAGCGCGCCAAGUGGAAGUGGACCUGGGGGUCGUGCCAUGCUGCCAUCUCAAAGUCGUAGCUAUCUUGCUGGCUUUGGGAUUGAAUAAUGCUGAAUUUUAAAAAGAAUUGAACAGUGAGGCUACUGGUACCAAAUAAGUACGCAUACUGUUUGAGCUAAGGUACACCGUACACACAAUCUUCUAUAUAGAGCUUUCAAAUUUGUGUGCUGUUCAGAGCUCAAGGCGGCCCCAUUUUGAAAAUACGACAAUUGCAUCGUUUUAUGUAAAUUCUUGUGGUAUUUCUAUGUAGAUUCCAAACGUAACAUAUGUAAUCAAUAUUUUUUUUGAAAAAUAUUAUACAAUAAAUAUGCAAUUGUAAGACUUUUGGUGUAUUGUAUAUACAAUCAUUCUAAGGUAGAGUUGCGUAUAACUAUCUAAGUGUGCAAAAUCAAUUUAAUACAUUCUUGGAAUUUUUUGGGGCCAUCUGUAAAAGUAGCAUGAAUCAUCUUUCUAUGCUUAGUCACAUCUUUGUGGUUCUAGCAUUAUCGAUGGAGUAUAUGCCCAUCCUUUUUUCUGAAAUAUAUCUACUUGAUAAAAGAAAAAAAAAUACAUUUGAGCUUCAGGACAAAGAAUGGCACCGUGCAUCAUGUUCCCUGGGUCCCGCCUGAUUCGUUGUGAGGGGCUUUUCUUUAGUAUUUUGCUUCACUGGAUACGUGUUUGUUUGGUUCCCGAUAGAUUCCCUCUGGACGUAUCUCUCCGAUGGUUUUCGCUAAGCGAUCCAAAAUCCAAGAUGGCAGAGUGUUAGAUUAUUAACCCAAUAAUUUGAACUGGCUAGGAUAUUAUUAGCAUGGUCUUGGCCCUCUAAUCUUGCCGAGGAAGCUGCCGCGAAGGAGCCACUUGCAAUUAUUAGGAAUAAUCCUCCUUGUGUUGCCUGUUAUGAUUCUCAUGGAGAACAUUCCUGUUCCUGAUGUAGCAAAGCAAAUAGUAUGCAAUUAUAGGGCAUUUAGGGUAGAGAGAGAGAGAGAGAGGGGGGGGGGGAUUGAACUCUUAACUCCAAAGUAAAUUUGAACACGAUGUUCUUAUGAUAAGCAUUGUGAUUUUCCACUACGUUUCCCAUACGAGCGGGGAAGGAUUUUGACGAAAAGAAUUCAUCGCGGUGACAUUCCCCAAGCUUGAUCUACGCGGCGCCAGGAUUCGAGGCACGUCGAAAACGUUCGGCCGCUCGGGGGGCUUGGAAGCGGAAGCUGCCGUGUGGGUGGCAGCGGCGGCAGACUGGCACGCCGACCCACAGCGACUACUCCGGGCUACGCACCGUACAUGCCCUCGCGAAACCGCCCAAAUCCGCAUCCGCUCGAAAGCCGAGGGCGCUGCGCUCCGGCACCCCGGCACGGCAGCCCAGCGCGACAAGCCGGCGGGCAUGCUUCGCCUGGCUCGGCACGCUUGCCAGCAGGUCCCGCCGGCCCCGCGCACGUCCGCCAAGUCUGCCGAUCGCGUUGGCCCGUGCGAUCUCUCGCUACUGGGAGGCGGCCGAAGUGGGAGAUUUUUGGGCGGGUGGAAAGGGGAGCAGCAGGAUCUCCGGGGACACUAUUAUAUCACAACCCGACAUUAGCGUAAGACGUUUGACGAUAAAAAUAUAAAAUCAUCCUUAAAAUCACAUAUUCUGAACCCAUCAUUUUGGCAUAUAUUUGUGCUAGUACCUCCUGAUCUUGCUCCUAGAAGCCAAAAGAAAGCUUUAAUCUAUGCUUAAUCUACUGCCUAGCACCCAGCACCUUUCAGAACUUUGGGAAUUUAUCCUAUAUAACUAUUUUUUGCAUAUAUGUAUGGAUGAUUGCUGCUACAGUAGAAAACCAUAUGGAUAGUUUAGGCGCAUAGAUGCUGGCCUUUGUACUGGCAGAUGCAUAGCUUCAUGCCUCUACCACAGGUAAGCAACACAGAAUUACAGAACUAGGCCAUUUGUGUUUUGUGCCCACUAAUAUGACACUAACAGCAUUUUGAGAUGAAAAGUAUGGCUGAUGACCAAUCUGAAUAGAAUAGUAUUUGCCAAAAAUUGUCAUUGAUUCUAUGGCAUAUUGUCUUGCAGACCAUUUUGGAAGAAAUGCUAGGAGGGACGCUUGAAGCCGAUUGCAAGCUGAUCAAUGUGGAAUUUUUUGUAUUUUGCAUACAACCUAAUGGUUGUGAGCUUGGUUGUAGUGAAUUGUGACAUUCUGGAGUCAAAUGGUAGAUGUAGACGUAUUGUGACAUUCUGUGAGCUUGCCCAUGCAAACUUGAUGGCUUUUGGUCACAAACAUAUAUUGAUCUAUUGCUCAUAUUACUUAUAGAUGCAGACUAAUAUUUCCGUGAGAUAUAAGAUCAGUUUGUAGUGUUCCCAUGUGCAACGUGAAUGCUAGUUUGUAUGGAUGAUUGAAUAUCAAUGCUAUAUGCAUGUAUUCAAUGUCAAUGUUUCCUACUGUUUGAUGUAAUGUUGUGUGAUGAUUGCAUAUGCCCAGAAUAAUUUUGACGCAAUUACAUCUAAAUAGCAUUGUAUAUAUAUUGUGUUCAUUUGAAUAGUUCUCGUUGAACUGUUAGUACAGUAAUUGUAUAAAUAGGUUGGUCGGUAUAGAUUUAUACCGAUGCCACUUAUAGCGUCACGUAGGUCUGAUAGUCGCUACAAUGACCUGUAGCAACUACAAUGUAGUCGGCCAUGUGUGGCUGUGGUACGGUGGGAGCUGGAGGUUUCGGUGGGUUUGGAGUUUUGGACGCAGCCGCGCUGGAAUGCACGGCCGCGGCCCGGCAUACUCGUGUCGCGUACGAAACAGUGCGUGCGUGCGCGCGCGGGUAGUGCCGUGGCCCGUGGUGUAGAUACGGGGAAGGCUCCACGGUGCUGACGAACGGGUGGUCCGAUACAUCGGCUUGAUUUUGUUUCAAGAUAAAGGGGUGAGAUACGGCUCCGCCGUGGCACCGUACAGGCUGGUUUGGAACCGAGGUACGGGACUAGUUGGUUUAACGUAAUCAUGGAGUUAGGUUCAUGUAUAAUGAUGUAAUAUUAAUAGCUGAAUUAAUAAUGUUCACGUAGAUUUGUUACGUGUUCCUGAAAGAAUGCUUAUUACAAGGAAAGGAAUGCGAAGGUACGAGCAAGUCUAGCUGCACGUUUAAGCUAAAAUUGAAGGGGAGCCUCGUUGCCCGUCUACUCAUUGGAGAAGUUCCUUCUUCCGAGUUUCAUGCACUAACUAUUCCUGGAGGAAAACAGUAGUAGGAAGAUGAUGCCCCCAUCACAUUAUAUUUUUGUUGGCUCUCCAAGGCAUUCCCGAAGGAGUGCAAAAUCGAUUGAGAUUUAGCAAAGUUUUAGCCAACCUAAGAAAUUCAAUACUCCUUCUAUUGUUAAAUAUAUGAUGUUUGAAAUAAAUUAUUUAGUUUAACAUUAGUCCAUCAACCUAUGCUCUUAGGUAAGCUAGUAAUUUGAGAGACACGAGUAUUAGAAAUUCAUGAAAAAUCGGGUCCCAUAGGCCAUAGCUAGUGAUCAAAAUUACUUAUCUCUCUAUUUUAUUUAUUAAAUAUUCUAAUAUAAUACUCAUGUAGAGAGAUACUUAUAUUUAUUUAUUGUGAUCGCACGCAGGUAUUUCAUGGGUAGAUUUAUAUUACUUUAGUUUAUUUUUAAUAAUGACAAUGCAAGUAAUCUAGAUGUAAAUUUAGGGGUUGUUUUACUUUAUUUUUUUAUAAUGACAUACAUGGGUAAUUUAUAUGAUGAUUAGGAGUAAUCUAGGUUAUCUUUCAUAAUGGCAUAUAUUUGGUUACUUUAGGUAAUUUUUAUAAUGAUAGAGAUGGGUAAUUUUAACAAGCAUAAUAGACGGUUAUUAUUUUCAGCUAUGAGUAGAGUCUACUUAGAUUGACGAUGGAUGUUUAUAAUUUUUAUGAUAAUUUCUAGAGUAAAAUGCACGGCUGGUCCACGAACUUGGCAAGGAGUGUCAUCUAGUUCCCCGAACUCUUAAAAUGUACAUUGGGUUCCCCAAACUUGCUAAUCGGUUUACGUGAGAUCUAAAUCUACAUAACUUGUAUUAAACUGCUCACGUGGCAUGCUACGUGUGCGUUGACGUAGACCUGACAUGUAGGGCCCACAUGUCAGGCUCACCUCUCUCUCUGUUCUCUCUAUUCCUUACUGCCUCUCUCUUCCUCCAACGGUGGCAGCGGGUGCGUACGUUGGCAAGGUCCAAGAGGCGGUGCAGAUUGCACCGUCGAGAGCCCAGUUCGGGGGCCCAUUCGCUACCGUCGAAGUCCCGCGCUCGAGUGCCGUCGUCCGUCGUAGCCGAGGGUUGGAGCUCGAGCGCCCUGUCCACCGUCUGCUCUGGCAGGGCCACCGCCAUCGCGUGCUCGGGCAAGGCCUCGCCCCCGUUCGCUCUGACAGGCCACCGCCAUCCCCCCCUCCCCGCGCAGCCCCUGCCGCCGACACUUGGGCAAGACCUCAGCCCCGUCCGCUCCGACGGGGCUACCGCCGCCGCCAACACCCGAGCAAGGCCUUGGCCUCGUCCGCUCCGGUGGGGCCACCGCCGUCGCUUCCCGCGCAAGCCUACGGCCUCAGCCACCAAUAGCUCGGGCGCGGAGCCUCUAUCACCUCCGCUCCAGCUCAGCCGCCACCGUCCACCAAUGGCUUGCUGCCUGGACCAAUGGAAGCUCAAGCACAGCCUCGGCCGCCGUCCGCCCGCAAGGCCCGCAGCCCUGGCCAAUGGCUACCCGCGACGGAUAGGUAGGAUAGAAUGACGGUGCGGGGAAUUGGCGCGGAGCGCAGCUGGAGAGGCGUCGGGCGGCAGGGAGCUUGCCAGUGUUGCCGGUUGGACUAGGCGGCACCACUUGAGGCUGCGGCAGGGGUAGGCUCGAUCGGAUGUGAGAGAGGGAUGAGGAAGAGAGAUAAGGCAGGGCGAAAAAUAAGGAGCUGACAUGUGGACCCCACGUCCAUGUCAACGCUUAGUCAGCAUGCCACAAAGGCAGUUUAACGCAGGUAACGGUGAUUUGAACCUCACAUGAACCGAUUAGCAACUUUGGGGACUCAUAUGCGUAUUUCAGGAGUUCGGAGACCUGAAUAAUACCCCUGCCAAGUUGGAAGUCCGGCCACACAUUUUACUCUAAUUUCUAGUUUUUUUUUCAAGCUCGCAAGGAUCAUCAACUCCAAAAGAAACAUUCCGGGAACGCUCGACCAGUUCAGCUCGAAAUGUAUUUACGGAGUACAAUGCUCAUCGUGCCAUGCCAUGCCCCGCUGGACACUGCCCACUUUGCCUGCCUCCGCGCGCGUGCGGACACCCAUGGCAUCCAUCACGGCCGCGCACGCGCUCGCCUCGCCAACCUCACCGUUCUACUACUUGCUCGUCCGGCCCAUCCGUGCGGCACCCGCGCGCAUCCGUACGAACGCCAUCCGCCCCCGCGUUCGCUCGUUCCAGUUCCAGUCUUCCAGAUCGCGCGGGCGCUCGCUCCGCUCGCCGCCGGUCAAGGAUUCUCCGUCCCGCUAGAUGCUGCUGCCAAGUGCUAGCAACGUGCAGCGCAGUUGGCAGCCGGGGAAUCCAGAUCAGCGAUCGCCGCGUGAAAACCUUAAACCCGGUGACCUGACCGAUUCGUCACCCGGCUAACCGCCUUUCUACCUGCCUGUCAGUCAGGCCGGCGCGCGCAGAGCGGAGGCGUGAGUGACAGGUGGACCCACGGCGAACUGCUCGCCUGCACGUGCACGCGGGCAGCUCCAAGUAGCUGGAGAUGCCGGGAGGAGACGACGAAGCCGCGGCGAAGCUUCCUCCGGGCUCGGACUCGGAGGUGCGUCCAACCGCCACCGUACCGUCACCGACCGCCUCGUCGUCGUCGUUGCCCGCCAGAAUAUCGGACACGGUAUUCAAGAUCAAAUCCAUCCGUCGUCUCCGCACCCGCCAUCAAAAUACUCGAUGGAAUCCAUCAUCUGCACCAGGGAGGCAGGCACUAUUCUUUCCAUCCGCCCCGCGUCUCGCAGAGGAGACUGCUCGAUCGGGGCCUGGCCUCGGUGCCCGGGCCACGCUGCCGCGGCAACAUGUGGCAGCGGCGGGCGACCACCCUGGCGAGAUGGGAAGGCGUCAGUGGAUUGGCUGCACGCCUGUACACUCCACUGUACUUUACUGUACGUACACUGGCGUACUGGUCCGGUCUCUGGCACUCUAGCUGGCCGUGAUGGCCGUGGGUAUGUCAUGUGAUGGAUUCGGGGUAUCUUGGCCUAAAAAAUUCUGUGGCUUUGCACCGUGCUGCAGUAUCUGUUCACGAGUAAGAUUGUGAGAAGCAGAUGAGAUGCAUAGUUCUUUCCCAUUUUCCUUCUCCAUAUUUGCUGUUACUGUUAGGCUUUGGUGGAUAUGUUUUUUCAGUGGUCCAGAGACGGGUCAGUGAGAGUGUGGGACAGCAUAUUUUGGUUCCUGAUAAAGAAAAGAAAAGGAAGCAGUGCUGCGUUUGAUGGUCGAUGAGACUUGAGAACUGGAUUCGUGCGGCAGCAGCACAAGGGCACUGCACGGGUGCCUGGCGCUGUAUUUGAAGGAACAGGUAGAACCUACGCACGAGGGGGUAGAUGCCCCAUUUGAUAGGAACAUUGUUCUUGCUGUUUGAGACUUUGAGCAUGCAUGGAGUGAUAUGUUCUCGACGCGUCAUCACCUCUUCUGUACCCGUACGCAGCGCACGCUUUUCUUCCCGUUGUCUAUCUGAAAAGGAGAAGGGCGGGAGCAUAAUAAGUGUAUUGCUCCAAUAAAUGCGGUUGGGAGGAAGAAAGGGUGCAUGUAAAGGCAAGGAGAUGCCAAUAAUUUGCCAAGAAAAAGCUAUUCUGAAUUCGUCGUGUGUAGCUUCAGAUGAGUCUGAAAGAGCCAUAGCUCGCCGGCGUUGGAAAGGCAAAGGUGGAAAACAGCUAGUGCAUCGGGACUGGUUACUGAUUAAAACCAUAAGCGAUGCCACACGAAACAUCAGGCCACGGCACAACUCUGAAUUCAAGUGCAUACAAGGUUCUCACAGACGACAACCACGAUCCUUGCCAAAUGCCAACAUCCAGUUUUCCAUUUGUUUUUGAGUUGAAUUUUGCAUGUAAAAUGCUCUGUACAGGUUUCAAAAUUCUUCGAUUGUCUCCUCUGCGAAUGUACAAACAGUAUUCACCCCAUAAAGGGUGCAAAAAUGGCUUUCUGGUCACAAUGACGUCUUCAAAGCUUUGCUCUUCAGAACUUCAAAUUUGUCCCUUCACAUGAUGCAAUGGCUAAGCUUCAAUCUAGCUCUGAGAACACUUCUCUUCUAUAUGCCUGUAUGGCUGUAUGCCUGUGUAGUAUACGUUUAGUCACGGAUUAGGUGCUCUGUGUGUUGUAUGGCCACAGCAAACUAGGCCAUUGUGCAGUGACUACGUCAAGUCAUUUGGUUGCUUAUUGCUGUCAUCCACAUUCUGUACAUCUGUUGUGCCACAUUCUAGGAGUGGCAUUUCGGUUGCAUUGGAAACCUCAGGAGAAGCUAACUCUUUCUUCGUACUUUGCACACCUGUAGCUCGUGCAAGAUCAAUCCAUUGCUGCAAGAAACAUGGUGUCAGUAAAGCAAGACGUAGUCAAGUGCUAUAAUGCAAUGUGUUUAUGGAGUUGGAGACUAGAGAAUCCAAAUCUUUUUAUUGUAAGAUUUUGGUUUCCUUGGAGAUAUUCAACAUAAUUUAUCAAGAAAAUAAACUAUUGACUGGUAAUGAACACUGAUGGUUCCCUUUACCUCAGUUGAACCAGGACCAGACUGAGAUCAGAAAUGCUGAAGUUCAUGAAGCACAGUUGAACAGGCCAGAUAAAAGUGCCAGCACCCAGAAUGAAAAAAAUAGCAAACGGUUCCAGAGUCCAGACUAGGAAUGCUAGCAGACUGAGUUGCCUCCCAUGGAACAAUUUAGUUAGGAUAAUUUUUACUAAUAACUAUGCCUACAAAUUGAGCCGCCAAUUAAGUAGGGAGUCAAGCAGUCAACCGCCAAUUAAUUGGAACUGGAGGGCUGCCCACUUACAUACCUUAUUCUACACGUCUUUGGUCCUAUGCUAAAAACAAGAAAGAGAAUAUACACUCAUUUGCAUUUUUUUCGUUCCAAGAAAGGAGAAAACUUGUUUGUGCCAUUCAGCCAGCUUGAGAAUGCAAAUUAAAUACCAAAACAUUAUCAGCUAAAUGUAAAGUGCAGAAGUGGCAAACCUGUGUUCCCCAGUAUGAAUUAAUUAUCCUUGAAACAAAGGACAGCAGGCUAGCAAGAAGUGGCUGGUUAUAGUAGGCCAUCAGAUGCUCUCCUAGUCGAUGCUCAAUCAGACCAGCUAUGACCUGAAGCAUGUUUAUUGGAAAAGUUAAACACUCUUGUGAAAAAUGGGAUAACUGAUAAGGUACAUGUGCUUAGAAAUGGAAAUAGCAGUUUCAGACUUUCAGGAUUUAGUUGGAAAUAAUAGUUUCUGCAAUCUAAUGCAUCAAAGUUGCUGAUUACUGAUGAGGUGCAGUAGCAAGGCCUCAUUUUUAAUGUUACCAACUUCAUAUUCUCAGCAUGUUAUAUUACAACACAUUUUAACCAUUCCUUGCAUGUGCCCUGGUCUAUGCAACCAAUGACAAAAUAGCUCUUCAUAGAUAAUCAGCACUUAAGUGAACAGAGUGAUGCUCUCGGCAAACUACCUGGUAUCGCAGGUUUGCUGAUGUUCCAAGGAAGCAACUAUAAACAGUUGCUGAUUUCCAGAUCGGAGAUCUUUUGCGCCCCACUUCCAUACUUGCAGAAGGUUUCAGAAUUUGGCGAGCACCAUAUAAGACAUCUGAAGCAACUCCAGCUCCAAUACUAGAAAUGAAUCCAACACCGGCAAGUUUAAGACCGCCCAUAAGCACUGAUGCAAAUCUCUGUUUAAUGCUCCAAUUCUGCCCUACAAUGCCCUUUUGAAAUGCAUUAUCUGGCAAUGUUCCUAAAAGUCCUUUCAGAAGCUCCACGCUAUCACCAGAGCCAUCAUCGGCAAAAGACAAGAGCGAAAUAGUAGGUGCAGGAAGCCACACUGUAAAGAAGUCAACAACAGAGCCUCUAAUUGUAUCGGUGAGAACAUAGUCAAUCUCUUCAAAAAACCGUCCUUUCCGUUUUUCGUAUUGUGCUAGAAGAGUUGUAGUUAUUGAUAUGCCCUCUUCAAUAGCUAACCUAUGCAGAAACUUGGGAUCUGCUAGCAACCUUUCACGGAAACCCUGCAGAAAAUGGCUAGAUUUAAGUUCCAACAAUUUUAAGUAUGCUUAUUGGCAUUCCUAAAAGGAAAAGAGUGAGAGAUAAAGAGUACAGGAGCUUCUUACUUGGAAUCGGUGAAUCAAUUCAGCCAUAACAGGGUAUUUCUCUAGGUCAAAAAAGUUCUGUAAUAUCUCAGGAGAAACUACACCAAGAUCUAUUCCUUUCUGAAGAUCCUGUCAUAGAAAUACAGAAAGUUCUGUUAGCUCCAACACAAGAAAAAUAUGACUACUUAGCAAGAUAGCUUUGGAAAGAAUUAUCAUAGUAACAAUCAUUUUCUGAUUCUGUAGUUCAAGUACAACAAUGUCAGUGCUGUUUACAUUUGCCUUUAGACUAACAACUAUUCCUGGUUUAUUACACUAAUCAUGAGACAAAUAUAACCACCACCACUCAACAUAUACUAAGUAAGAGCAAGUGAUAACCUGAGGUAAAGCUUCGCGCCUCCUACCAGCAGCAUUCAUAACUCUAGCAAUUUCUGCACGAUCAAAGCAAUUUCGACUGCAUGGCUUGGCAGCAGAGUACCAUAAGAAAUCAGCUACAGGGAUUUCACCUUCUCUCCUUAUACUUUGUCUCUCAGGAUCAAGAAGUACCACAACUUGUUUUUUCUUUUGCAUCUUUUUAGAUAUCCUAGCAGGAACACCAAUUCCCCGUGGCCCAUACAUAACAUGACUUGCACCAGUUACAACAACGAGCAUCCCUGAAGGGUCGCCACUAGCAAUUUCUUUCAGUAUUGUCUGGGACAUGGUAUAAUCAUCAACUACUCUUGCCUGCGCUGAUAAAUAUGAGCUUGGUCCAAAAGGGGAACCACGAGUUGAUGAGAUCUUGUCUAUCAAUGAUCGGCCUGAGAUGGAUGUAAAGCCAGAAAUGAAGCCUGAGCCAGCUGGAGGAGCAUACAUCUUUCUUUCAGCUUUUGAAAGACCUCUAAUUCCUUCUGCUUGGACAGUUCUUACCACCUAGUCAAGAAAAAAAAUAUUAGACAAUUUUCACCAAAUAAUGUACAGACUAGAGAAAGCGAAACUUACAUAUUAAAUAUACAUCAGACCAGAUAUUUACCAGGGAAGGGGGCUAAAAGCAUGUAACAGAGGUGUUUAAGCAGGCAAAUUAGAAUACGUGGUACGAGAAAAAAAAGCAUGCCCAUUGGAACAAUGUAAAUCAAUUUCAAAUUAUUACAAUUUUACGAUGUCAACAGUCAACAAUUCUGAAGUAUAAAUAAACAAGAUUAAUGAUUAUUAAACUAUGCCUGAAUCACAUAUAUUUUGCUGGGGGGCAUGUGAAAAAUCAGUUAUAAAUUACCUCAAGUGGAGUUCCACAUGCAACAAGCUUUAUUCCGUUAUCACGGCAGUAAUUCAAAAGAGGUUCAUACUCCUGCCAUCGCUCCGGUGCCCAGUGAGAUGUAUAAAGCCUUAAAUUGUCGCCAUUAAUUCUGCAUAAGGUAAAGAAUUGUUACAAGAUCAUCCACAAUAAGUAUUGGAAGGCUUCUAAAUUUCACUUUUCCCACCAGAAAAGAUAAAACAAAUAUAGGCAAAAGAGGACUAACAUAGGACUUCGGUAGAGCUUUUACUGUUUGGAAACAUAUAUAUCGUCAAAACAGUAGUAGCCUAGUAGAUACAGAUAAUUCUAGCAAAUCCUCAAGUGUAGCUGUUUAGAGGGGCAGGGUCAAACUACCAGUUAUAUAUCUCAGAAGACAUUUUUAGCUAUCCUAGCAGAGAAAUGUCAUGGUUUUACCUCUUGCCACCAGACGCAGAGAAGCUAUUCUCCUACUUCUCUACAUAGGAAAAUCAAGGAGCAAAUAACAAGCAAUGAUCACUCAACUUGCAUUUGAAGUUAACACAUCAAAACUCAGUAUCUCUAAACACAUAAUUAUAGCACAUCAGGGCAAGGAAUUCAUCUUCUACGUAAUGUAGCUCAGCUACAUACUUGUCACAACUAGCAAUGAGGUAAAAUUCGUUGUCUUAACAGGAGAAAAAAGAAGUAGAACUGCAACAACCUCCCAUCCAUGAACCGGUUGAGCUGCUCCUGGAGGUCGCAGGGGAAGGCCUCGAGCGCGAGCGAGAUACUCCUCCCAGCCUCGGCGCAUCCGGCCGCCAGCUUCCUGACGAUCUCGAGCUCGAGCGCCCUGUCGUCGCGGUCGGGCACGAGCUCGGCCUCGCCGAGGUACACCACCCGGGCCGCCAUCAGCUUCUCCCACACCCUCCGCCGCGCGUCCUUCCCCACGGCCUGCGGCUCCCCGAUGACCGUGGCGUCGUAGACCCUCGACAGCGCCGGCUCGUCCGCGGGAGGCGGAGGCGGGGCCGGAGCCGCGGGCGCCGGCGCCGCCGGCGGUGGGGCCGGCUUGUCAUCGCCCGCCGCGGCGGAGGCGGCGAGCGGGAGCGACUGGAGGGCCGUGGACGCCGCGACCAGCGAGGGGACGAGGACGAGGAGGUUGCGGCGCGUGGUGGCGGCGGCGGCCGUGCAGACGCUGCCGCGCGUGGAGGCGGACGCGGAGGCGGGGGUGGAGGUGGAGGCGAGGAGCAGCGGCUUGGCGGGGAGGUGGGGUUUGAACCUGAAGGCCCCCGGAGCUCGGGAAGGCGCGUGCGGCAGCAUUCUCCGUUCUCCCCCGCUGACACGACGCCGGAGGCGCGACGCGCCCGCGCCGCCGGUGCCCGGGGAGGGGAUGAAAUGGAGGGCCUCAGAGACACGGAGCAGUUUGUGGUAGUUGGUACUUGGUACUAGUAGAAGACUCUUCGAAGUCUCGAUUAUUUUGCCUUUCAACAGCAGUCAAGUUUGUUCGGUUGUUCCUAAAAAAUUUGAUCAAAUUUGUCAUCAAACCCAAAUUCAUCUGCCACCUGAAUAAGCCUAACAAACGGCGGACAUGUCAUCCAACUGUCACUAGAGGACAAACAGCAAUGUGAUGCGAUCCCAAGUUCCCAACUUCUAUAGGACAUGAGUUUUCGCCAGCAACGAAACUUGGGCCUUGUUUCCCCUUUUUUUCCUAACUUUGACAGCAAAAAGGGGAUUCUCCAUCACAUCAAACUUGCGGUACAUGCAUGGAGUAUUAAAUGUAGACGAAAUCAAAAACUAAUUGCACAGUUUAAUUGCACAGUUUUGUUGUACUUUGCGAGGCGAAUCUUUUGAGCCUAAUUAGUCAAUGUUAGAUAAUAAUUCACAAAUACAAACGAAAUACUACAGUUGCGCAUUUAUGACAAAAUGUAAACUUUACCACUUCCAAUUUGGGAACUAAACAAGACCUUGUUGCAUUCUGCUGAGCGAGCUCCAGCACAGCUGCACAGGGCUAGAUUUUUGGAAAUUUCUUGUGGCGGAAAUCGUGGCGACUUUUCACGGCGGAGCUCGAACGGUCGAACGGUAUCAGAUUGUUUCGCUGUUCUUUCCAUUUGUGGUGGUGUUUGGAGAUUGUGUGCUCGGGAAGAGCUCGGAAGCGAGAAAGAAAUCUCCGGACGAACGAUCAGAAGUUACAGGCUCGAGAUGUCGGACAAAAAGAUUAAGUACGUGGAGAGGAUAAGCAGUGAUGUUGAAGCCGGUGGCCCCAAAAGGGGCACCAAGGUGCCAGCCCAACCACUAGCUCACGGACAUGUCCAGUCAGCAAGUUGCAAGACGAGUGGCUCACCUUUCUUGCACAGGCGUGGCCUUCUGCAGUUCUGUGCCUUCGGCGAAUCGUGAUUUUCAUAGACCCACAAGCACCAAGCGACAAUUGUAUCGAGUUUAAGCCUUGCACGGCAACAAUAUGUUUCAUGCCGGUUUGGAAGACAUGGAUUUUACAGAACAUAGUUCGAUUUCCAAAAAAAAGUGGCUAAAGGAAACAUUAAAUCUGUUGCUCCACAGAAAAAAAAAAGAGAAUUGAUUCAAUGGUAUAAAGAAACAUUAAAUGAGGAUAUUAUAGAAAUAAACAAGAGGAUGCAAGUACAGGCGUGCAACAGCUCGGCAGGACAAAAUCUUAUGUAUUAUCUCAGGAGGCAGCGAAUUCACUCAACUGGUGCCGUGUAAAUGUACAGAAAAAAAGAAAGAACCGCAGCAAUACAUGAAGCCCAGGCUGACAAAAAGAGACAAGGGAAAAUAGUUGUGCUAUGUUUCCUGAGAAUUUUCAGGUACACAAGUAACACAACUGGCGAUACGCGGAUACAGAUCCCCAAAAAAAUCCUUAGAAAUGCGUCCCUUCGGGAAUGGAAAGAGUGAUCUUGUCCGCAUAUAAAGCCUAGACGGUCACCAAAAUGAUUCUCAAUGGCGUAGUCCAUGUUCAUGCUGCACAAUAACAGCUCAGUUUCACCUGUAUAUGUACAUCCUACUUCAACUCCUGUUCGCAUAUCCUUUUGUAUCUUCUGCUACCUUUGUCCAUAUGCUAGCAAA